GUGCUAUAUGUUAAGUAUUUACCACACUCAUGCAUAUCUGAAUAAGGUAUACUUGAAUUACUCGACAUGAAAUACCUGAAAUAUGUAUAUUUGAACUAUUCGAUAUGAAAUGCUUAAAGAGCAUAUUUAUGUGAUUACUUGAAAUACUAGAUAUGAAAUGUUUGGAGAGCAUAUCUACAUGAUGUGUUUAAAUGAUUAAUUAUGCUAUGACAGCAUAAGUCGGUUGGAGUGAAUCUCCUCGACCCUUAUGUGGAAAAAGUGAAAAUCGGCCAAUGGUGGCCUAUUAAAAUGACAUAUGUCUGCCAAUUAACCGUAAUUACCACCGUUUACCGUUUACCGUGUUUACUUACCGUUUUCUAAUCCAUUCGGCUACUUGCUUACUUGAUUAUCUGCUUACGUGAUCACCAACUUACUUGAUCACUUGAUUAUCAUGAAUCGCAUGUUAUAUGAAGUUGUCCAUCAUUGUUAGGCGAGUGUGUACUUUACCUCACUCGACCUACUCAAAUGAUGAAUUUUACCUUUUGCCGAAUUACUUGAUUACUUGUGCAUGUUGUAAGCUCUAAGCUGAACUUGGGCCCUGCCUCGGUUACUGACCUACUCGAGCCAGGACUGGGCUCGGUCGGGUAGGUUGGAACCCUGGACAACCGUUUCGGUAUACUCGAGUAUUACCACUGGAGGGAUAAGGUGAUGGCCAGUCAAACCGAGGGGAUCCGGAAGUCAUAAGGUGCAGAUGACCGACAGAGUUCCACUGGAACACCGUAUCCUACAGUAUAUGUUUACCUUGUAUCAUGAUGAUUGUUUCGUGCUAAAAUGCCAACAUGAAAUCCCGAGCUAUGCCUGUAAUAAGCUCCAAUCACUCGUGAACUAUACAUGCUAAUGUCUCAUACCAUGAUAAAUGUCUCAAAUUAGCUGUACAAUGAUUAUUGCCUCAUGAUAACAUGCCAUUGUGUAACCUUGAACCAUGCGUAUGAUAUGCCCAACUUAUUUGAUUUAUUUGAACUGUUAGAGUGUCUUGGAACCUCACUGGGCUGUGUAGCUCAUACCACGUUGUGGAUUUCUUUUACAGGGUUCGAGACCAAGGGUGCUCGUGAGUAGUACUAGAUUGUUUUCUUUUGAAGACUUUAAGUUAUAUUAUAACGGAUGGCUAUAGUACCCCUUUUCCAUUGGGUUGUAUUUAAGCUUGACAGCUGCAUAAUUGUAAGUGUGAGAUAUUCGAAGUACUUUAAUUAUGUAUUGAGGUUACUUAAAGUAUUUCGAGCUUUUGAAUGAUCGAUUGUAGUGAGUCCCGGCGAGAGCUGGGCAGGCGUCCCGCGGAUACCCUUUGGUUCGCCUUAGGGAGAAGUGGGGGCGUCACAAAAUUUACCUUCCUAAGCUUCCCAAGCUCUCAAUUUGCAAGUUAAUCGGUUUAGUUUUCUUGUUUUCUCACUAAAUCAAGCAAAACCCAAGAUGGAUUGAAAUGGUUUCCUCUCACUCUCACGGCUGGAAGGCUGCAAAUGAAAGCUCAAAUGAAGCUUCAAGAAGGUUAAAAUGAUAGAAAUGAAUUUGGGUCAAAGGUGACAAGUGUCACACUUUGAUUGGUAGUCAAAUUUUGUUCUUUUCUCUCUUAUUUUUGGUCCAAUAUUUCAGCUGCCUUGAAGAUAUUUUUGGGCUGAUAUUAAUCAAUUAAUAGCAAGGAGAUUAAGGUAAUAAAGUAGUGUUCAAGUGGUGCACUCACUCGAUAACAAACGGUACCCGUCGGUUCAACCAUUUUUUCUUAAAUCGCGUAUACUAGGGUUUUAACUUAUAAUUCACUAACUUAUUAUUAUCACCUCUAGUCACACACUUACUAUCAUCUAAACUCACCCUUAAUCACCGAAUUUAGUGAACACAUCUCAUCAAGUGAUCACACGGUCAAAAUAUGCAAAAAGCCUUGAUUUACCCGAACCAAGAACCUACAAGGAAAACCCUUGAUUCUAUGGUUGAUUGCAAUUAUUGAGGGUGUGAAUGAGUAGUAAAGCUAUUAGAAAGGAAUAAAUGCCAAAUAAAAGGAAUUUUAAGAAAAAUGUGAGGAAUUUUACAAUUCCAUUGGUUGUAAGGGUUUCGAUUAAAAUAUAAGAGAUUUAAGAAAACCGGUUAGUCACAAGUAAACUAGGGUUUUUUUUUCUUUUGAUUAGAAUUUAUGGUUUCUAACCUUUAAAACAAAACAAGGUUUUAAAACAAAAUAAGGUUUUAAAUCAAACCAAAAAAAAAAAAAACUCCAGUAUCUUCUUUACAAACAACCUCCAAACAUUUGGUGUAUCACAUCAUUGGUGCCAAUCACAUGAAUAUCUUGAGGCUAUUAUUCUUGAUCAUUUUGGCGCAAUUUUUUCUACUUCUUAGCCUUCUACUAAGGUAAUUGAUGUUGUUCUUAAAAGGGUGGGAGGAAGGUGACUAAGCAAAUGAUUGUCUACUGUGAACGUACUAUCCUAUUGAGGUGACAAAGGCCCUAGCACAGAUGCACCCACUCAGGUCUCCAAGUCCUGAUGGUAUGUCCCCAAUUUUUUAUUAGAAAAUUUGGCAUAUUAUAGGACAAGAUAUAAUUCAUUGGGCUCUUUCUUUUCUUAAUAAUGGAUUUUUUGAUGAUCGCAUUAAUUUGACAUAUAUAGUUCUCAUUCCCAAAUGCCAUGACCCAUCCAAUAUCACUCAAUUGUCCAAUUAGUCUUUGCAAUGUCAUCUGUAGAUUAGCUUCUAAGGUCAUUGCUAAUAGGUUUAGUCGAGUUCUUGUCAAUUAACUUUCUUAUCAAGACGUCUUAUUACUGACAAUAUUCUCACUGCCUGUGAAAUUAGUCAUUCCUUAAAGUUAAAAGUUGCAGGCAAGAAAGGAUCCAUGUCUAUCAAACUAGACACGAUCAAAGCUUUUGAUAGGGUUGAGUGGUGUUUUCUUAAGAAAAUGACGCUAGCUCUAGGUUUUCAUUCAGAUGUUGUUAAUCUUAUUUUGUGUUGUAUUUCCACAGUUUCAUACUCUUUUCUACUUAACGGUCAUCAGUUUGGUCAUCCAAAGCCUUAAUGUGGCAUUUGACAAGGGAUCCUAUCUCUCCUGGUGUUCAUUGUGGUAACAUCUCUAGUGUUCAAGUAGGAGUUGAUGGACCAAAGAUUUCUCACUUGCUAUUUGCAGAUGACACCUUGUUGUUUGGCAAAGCAACACUUUGAGAGGCUUAGCAUAUUGAGUCUAUUUUGCAACUCUACAAAUCUGCUUCGGGACAGAAAAUAAAUUUCGACAAAUCUACUAUAGCUUUUAGCAGCAAUACUAGUCCAGAGGUGCGGCAUAGAAUAAUCAGUUAUCUUGGUAUUAAAGAGGUUGCAGCAUAUGACAAAUAUCUUAGCAUCCCAAUAGUUAUUGGGUGUUCUCAUCAAUAAAAGAUAGAAUACGGAAAAAAUACAUGGUUGGAAUGAGCAGUGAUUAUCAAAGGUAGGGAACGAAGAAAUGAUCUAUGCUGUGGUCUAGGCUAUCCCUACAUUUUCUAUGUCUAUUGUAUGUCUUGUUUCAAAUACCCUGAUUCAUUGCUCAAUGACAUUCAGUCAACGAUAAGUAAUUUUUGGUGAGGUGAUGGAAUAAAAGGGAAACCUAUUCAUUGGGUUAGUUGGGAUAAGCUCUGCACAAAUAAGAAAGAUGGAGGAAUGGGUUUCAGGCAGCUGAAGUCAUUUAAUCUUGCGUUGCUAGCAAAGCAGGCUUGGUGCAUUGGAACACAAUCCUCCACACUUUUACAUCAAAUUUAUAAAGCUAAAUACUUCUCUAACUCUGAUUUUUUCCAAGCAACAGAAAGUUCUCACCCCUCUUGGACUUGGAGUGGGAUCUAUGAAGUUCACAAAUAUAUAGUAGCAGGUAGCAAAUGGCGAGCCAAGAAUGGAAUCAGUCUCAAAAUUUGGCAGGAUAGGUGGCUACCUCACCCUUUAACUUUUAAAGUGAUAGCUUACUCUUAAUCAUUGCUUAAUGAUUCUACUAUGGAUUACCUAAUAGACAGUAUUCAUCAAGAAAAAUCAUGUAAUUGGUAGCUGUAAUAUGGUGGAAUCUUUGGAACAAUCGCGAUGGAGCUACCUUUGAAGGUUUGUAUAGAGACCUCUUAGUUUGGUUUCUUUUUCUAUAAACUAUUUGCACCAAUAUUGUGAAGCUAUUUCAAGUCCAACAAAUGGCUCAAUUACUUCUUUUCAACAACAAGCCGCACAAACUCAUUGGGACAAACCUCAAAUGGACUUUGUCAAAGCAAAUUUUGAUGGGGCCAUUUUUCCUACAGAAGGUUUCUCUAGUAUUGGGGUAGUGGUGCGUGAUGAUGCAGGCUAUAUCAUAGUUGGAUUGUCUAAGAAGUUCCCUGGUAUUUUUAGCUCCAGACGUGAUCGAAACUUAUGAAGCAAAUUUUGCAGCUAACUGAUUAAGUUAGGCUUGCGUUACGUUGUUCUCAAAGGUGACACUCAAAAGAUUAUUAAAAUGAUUUAGCAAUGUGAUUCUACUGGUUCAGCAUAUGGAGUAUUGAUUGAUGAUGUCUUGCAACUUAUGCAAAAUUUCACCAAGUGGGAAGCUAUAUGGAUACCACGAUCUUUGAAUGGUGCAACUCAUAACUUUGUUAGAAAUGCUUGUACUGUUAUGGAUGACUAUUUGUGGAAACAUUCAGCUCGAUCUUUUAUAUUGUCCAUAGUUCAGGCGAAUCUUCUUUCAUUUUAAUAAAACUCCAGGCUUUUGUGUCAAAAAGAAAUUAACUUUUGUUUUAGCAGGCAUAUUUAUAUGGUUUCAAGUGUUAAAGAACAUCUCUCUAUGCUUUCUAAGAGCAUUUUUGAGUAAUCAAACUUUGGGGAUAUUUCCAGAAACCUUUUUUGAGGUUUCUAACAAUAUUACUGCUUUCCUUGAACUAUUAAAAAAAUCACUUGCCUCCCCUAGUAGUUAGAUGGGACCCAAUGAUUGAUAUAUUAGUGGCUAAUUGACUGUUCAAUCCUUAUUCUUUGUGGUUAACCAUCCUUCAACAGGAGCCAUACUAAUCUUUUCUAUAUCAUUCCAAUUUUAUUAGGGACUAUUGUAAACAGACUUUGGCAAAAAAGUAUUGGCCUUUCCCCUACUUUUACAAUUAGAAAAAUAAAAAGAAAAUAGAUGUCCUUAUUAACAAACAAAGGUCACCAACAUUUAGUGCCAAUUUAAAUGUUGAUUAUUAGCUGUAUGCUUCGACAAAACUUAAAUUUGAUCCUUGUUUAAAGUCUAAAAACAAAAAGAAAGUAAAAUUGUCAUCAUAAAAUUUGGCACCAACUUUAGGCAUUUAAAGGCAUAUUUUCUAAUUGUGAUUUAUUUAAAACAAAUAUGAACUUUAUAUACACACACACAUAGCCUAAUGUUUUUAUGAGCUUUCAUUUAGAGCUUUUGAAAGUUUUAUUUUUUUUAUGAGCAAAAAAUAAAUCUAGUGCUACUACAAAGGUGGAAAAGUUUUAAGACUGUUUUUCCUCUCUAAAUAGGUAAUUUUGUGCAUAAUAUUAGAGGUAAAAAUUGAAAGUUUUGUUUUUUCUUUUCUUUUGUCAGUAAAUAUGCACUUAGAAACCUUGAAAUAAAUACUUUUGCAUCUUGAUAAAGCAACACACAGAUUCUUAUUGAAUAUGCUAAUAUUUGGCACUAAUAUUUUUGAGAGAAUGUUAUUUGCAUCUUGUCUCUAUUUCCCAACUUUUUAUUUCUAUACAAAAUUGUUAUAAUUUGACAAGUAUGACUAUAGAGGGGCACUUGUGGCAUGAAAACCUUUUUCUCUCUUGAAACUAGUUUUUUAAUCUUAUAUUUUAUGACAUGGGUUGAAAUGUUACACAGAAGCUAGAAUUAAGGGUGGCAAAUGAAUUUUUUUUCAAGUUCAGGGGAGGCUAGUGAUAUUGUCAGAAACCUUAGAGAAGGUUUCUAAAAUUACCCCUUAAACUCGAGACACACUUAUCUGUACACCCGGAAGGACUCUGUACCUAAUAUGAUAUGACUAUUUCAACCCUUCCCAAAUUUCUACAAGCCUAAGGAUUAAAUAAUAAGUUCAAAAACACAAAUUGAAUUUGGCUGCUCGCCUAGACCGGCAUCGUUUGCAUAUUUGUACAAGUAUUAAAAGUCCAAGAAGUUGGAUUUUUCAGCACUUAUUCAAAAUACAAAGGUAUUAAACAAUAGUUCAAAAAGACAAAUUCAAUUGUAACAUGCACACCAAAUUCAUGUAUAAAUGAACCUCCAAGCUCAGAUGGCAAAACUCAAGAGGCCGAGGGUCAUAUAACAUGGAAAAUGGAAUGGGAGCUCAAAAAGCUCACAGAGGCCACUGCUUGAUAUUACCAUACCCACUUCAAGGCCAUGUAAACCCUCUCCUACAAUUCUCUAAGCGUUUACAGUUUAAGGGAGUUAGAAUCACAAUUGCAGCUACAAUUUCCUUCUUCAAUCGCAUAAAAGAUGCUACGAGUUUAUUUCCGUUAGGAAUGAUCUCGGAUGGAUUUGAUGAAGGAGGAGCGAAUCAGGCUGAGAGUAUUGAAGCCUACUUAAUAAAGUUCCAACAGGUUGGUUCAGAAACUUUAGGAGAGCUGCUUGAAAAGCUUCGGGAUUCAGGUUCUCCAGUUGAUUGCGUUGUCUAUGAUGCAGUUCUUCCGUGGGAUCUUGAUGUUGCCAAGAAGAAUGGAGUCUUUGGAGCUGCUUUCUUCACCCAAUCGUGCGCUGUAGACAACAUUUACUACCAUGUUUAUAAAGGGAUUGUAAAGGUUCCUGUUGAAGAGACUAGAAUCGCAAUUCCUGGAUUACCUGAUCUUGAGCCUGCUGAUUUGCCCUCCUUUGUUACCAAGCCUGAAACUUACCCAGCAAUUGUUGAAAUGAUUAGAAAUCAGUUCAUCGAUAUUGAUACAGCAGACUGGGUACUUUUCAACACGUUUUACAAGUUGGAAGAAGAGGUUUGCAAAAAUAUUUCCUAGCCCAUUUCUUUAACUGUUUCACUAUUUUCUAUAUCCUGAGUGUUCCUGACCAUCUUAUACUUUAGGUACGCAAGAAAAUCAAGAUUUAUGCAGCUUAUGCAGAAGGAUAAUGUAGUCUGUUAACUAAUUAACUUCACUGAUUCAUGUUCUAUAUAGGUCAUUGACUGGAUGAAGGGACUGUGGCCAGUGAGGCCAAUUGGACCAACAGUACCUUCCAUGUACUUAGACAAGAGGGUCCAAGACGACAAGGAUUAUGGUCUCAACGUCUUCAAGCUUGCACAAAAUGGUUGGAGGGAAAAGCAAGCAAAUCUGUAGUUUAUGUCUCGUUUGGAAGUCUAGCCUCACUUGAUGCCGAGGGAAUGGCAGAGUUGGCAUGGGGAUUAAAAAUGACAGGGAAAUAUUUCUUGUGGGUAGUAAGAGCUUCAGAGGAAUCAAAACUGCCAAAAGAUUUCAUUAACGAAACAUCAGAGAAAGGAUUGAUAGUUUCAUGGUGCCCGCAGCUGGAAGUUUUAGCAGACAAAUCUAUUGGUUGUUUUGUCACGCACUGUGGAUGGAACUCAACUUUGGAGGCACUAAGUUUGGGUGUUCCAAUGGUUGGAAUGCCACAAUGGACAGACCAACCCACCAAUGCUAAGUAUGCGACGGAUGUUUGGAAAAUGGGAGUCAAAGCUGAACCAGAUGAGAAGGGGAUAGUGACAAAAGAAGAGAUAGAGAACUGCAUUAGACAAGUCAUGGAGGGAGAGAGAGGAGAGGAGAUUACUAGAAAUGCCAAGAAAUGGGUGGAAUUGACAAGGGAUGCAGUUGAUGAGGGUGGGACCUCUGACAAAAACAUUGACGAAUUUGUGUCCAAAUUGGUUUCCCCUUAAAUUAUUUUGGCGUAACUUGUGACAUGGUACUAGACCCUUUGCUUUAUGUGUUUCUUCUUUUUGUUUUUGUCAAUUUGUUUUAUGUGUUUCCGAAUGAUCCAAGUUGGAUGCUUCUUUUGUGACCUAGAUUUUGUAAAAUUCAUAUCCUUACUUAUGGGGUGAUAAAGAGGAACCAACCCAAUAACAGUGGGUUUUAUUGUGGCAUGAAAUUAAGGGAAGGAUUGAGUUUUUCUCAACUUUAAUGAUUAUUGUUAACUAUGAAAUACAAUUCCCAAACAUAACAGAUAAUUAUUGUUGUCUUGGAAUUGGUAUUCAAGUGUAUUGUUGUUAUACUAGCGUAUAUAUUUAUUGAGCCAAUGCUUAUAUUAUGGGUAGUAUUGUUGUGAGAGCACAUUAUAUGGGUGCCAGAGCAACUCUGCCCACCAAGAUAAAAAUGUUCCUUCUAGUCAAAGCUUUCUUUACUAACAAUUUAUUGUGGGGUCUACAUCUCCUAUCUUGUCUCCAAGGAAAUUAUAUUGACGAGUUUCUAACCUAUAUCCUAGAUUUUAACCAAAUUCACUCAUUUACUACAAGUAUACAAGUCGUGCCUUGUUGUAUUAGGGACUUAUGAUCAAUGUCAAGAGCAUCACUUCCAACUACAAAGGCUUUUAGCUCAUUGUAUUAUCUAAACUAAUCAAGAAUUUUAACAAAAUAAAAUAACCACAAUGCUAAAACAAUGCAAAAAAAAAAAAUUAAUAACUUGAAGAAAUUAAACUAAAAACAAAUGUCUUAGGGUAUAGAAUCCAUUAAAUGUACCUAACUAUGGAUGAAAUAUCAAUUAUCACUAAUGCACUUGUCUUGCUAAUGAUGCAUUUUACUCGAACCAUCGGAACUCACUCUCGCCAAUGAACAGAAUCUAACCAAUACUAUAGUUUCCUUCCUUUCAUGGUGAUAUCACAAGUAAAGAUUUAAUCUAAAUCGAGAAAUGCCAAAAACAUCCAUUUAAGUGUACUACUACUUUUAUAUGCCUACUCCUUAAGUUUCACCUAUUCCAUUUUCGUCAUUGUCAACUAUUUUCAUAAAUUAAUAACUAUCAUGGCUUGCAAAUGGUGAUCAAGUAUUCACAAGUGUUGAAGCAAAAAUAGAUGAACUAGCAAGUACAAGAUAUAGCAAUAAUCAAUUUUAUUCAACCAUAAUCAAUGUACGAAUAGUUGCAUCUAUCCCUAGAACAAGAAGAUUUAGGUAGAUAUAGAAGAAUUAAGAAUAAAUCUCAAAUCUUCAAUGUAACUAAGUAUUAAUGAAACUAUAAAGAAAGUAAAGAGGUACCAAGACUUGUGCCUUUAAAGAGUAAAUAUUACAAUAAAAUAUUCAACAAUAUUUUCUCUCACGCUCUAGGGUUACCUCUUGCUCUUUAGGCUUUCGUGCAUGGAGGCCCCUCAGCCUAGGGCUGAGGGGCAGCCUCCUUCACCAGCAAAGAAGUCGUUCUCGUUGCUGUUUUCGAAUUCUGUCCCUUCUUCGAUUGAGAUCAAGACUCCAACAACUCAUAAGGGUGAACCUGCAAUUUUCUUUACAAGGGUUGAUAUUGCAAAGCUAUCAAUUCCAUGUAAGUUCUCGGUUGUGGGUAAAUUCUCUCAUGGUAGGCCAAAAGUGGAGGAGAUCCACAAGUUCUUUGCAACGCUAGACUUGAAAAAUUUUGUCACAGUUGGGCACUUGGAUGCAUGCCAUGUGCUCAUGAGGUUUGUCAAUGAAGUAGAUUUUCUUCAGGUUUGGACAAGGGGGCUAUGGCAGAUUGGGUGGUAUCCUAUGAGGGUCUUUUGUUGGACACCAGAAUUUCAUGUGCAGUGCGAAUCAUCCCUUGCUCCCAUUUGGGUUUCGCUGCCUUCUUUACCCAUUCGCAUUUUUGAUAAACAUAGUCUGUUGUCAAUUGUUAGUGUGAUUGGACGGCCGUUAUAUUUUGAUGGAGCUACCACUUCGUUAACUAGACUAAGUGUUGCUCGUGUGUGUGUGGAAAUUGACGUCUUACGUACUAUGCCCUAACGGGUUUGGGUGGGCUUGGCAGGUGAAGCUACUGGUUUUUGGCAGCAGUUUGUGAUUGAAAAUUUACCAAAGUAUUGUUCUCAUUGCUGGCGUCUGGGCCACGCUAAUGAGGAGUAAUUUGAUGAAAAGCGAACAUCGAAUGGGAAAGCAAGUGGGUUCGAUUGAGCCUAAAGGAGAGAAGGUGGAUCAUGGAAAGGGAGCUUCGCAGGCGGUACGGACUAUGUAUAGGCCGACCAAUCAAGCUAUUGGGCAAGCGAUUGACUCUAUUAAAGAAUUACCAAUGGCUAUGACUGACCAAGCACAAGAGGGAUUGAUAGUAGGUGGCAAAGCUGCUAAUGCAUCAGGUUUGGGGGUGGAGGAGGAUCCUAUAGGUCAGGUCAAUAUCGUGACUAAGGAUGGUGGAGACAUCAGCAUUACAUGUAGUGCGCGUGUGGAAAGGGGAGACAAGCAGGAGAACAAGGAAUGUGGGGUUGUUGUCCCCACUUCUAGAACCAUGGAUAAUGGGAAUCUGGAGGUACCAGAUAAUGGGUUGCAGAAUGUGAACCCAACUCCUCAAGAUAGUCUUAGUCAUGAAAAUUGUAGACACUAAAAUUUUAGUGUAAUUCGCAUUUACUAUUUUUGUCUUAAUUUUUUAUUUGUCGUGUUAAGUUUUAUUCACUUUUUAGUUUUUAGUUUUUUUUAGUUUUUAUUUAUUAUUUUUAUUUGUAAGUUUUUAGCAUAGAAUUCCUCGGAAAAGAAAAGAAAAGAGGAAAAAGAAAAAGAAAAAGGAAAAGCAUUCAAAAAGAAAAAAAAAUGAUUUAGUUGUUUUUUUUUAAAUUCAAUGUUUUCUUGAAGAAAGAGAAAAAAGAUGAAAAAAAUGAAAAAUAAAGAAAAAAGAAAGGAAAAAUGAAAAAUUGCAACUUUGCUGUUUAUUAUUUCUAGUUUGUUUAUUUUUAUCCAAUGUUAAUUAAAUUUUUGUUUUUUUACUUAAUUUUAUUAUCAAGUUUGUUAACUUUUAAAAAAAAAAAAAAAAAAUUUACAUGCAUGCUGCGGAAACGCAGCUUGCAAGGACAAUCGCGCAUGCCCAUCGGAUGGCCUGGGGUUGGAGAGGAAUCUCCUCUUCCAUCCUCACCCUUGAGGUGAGGGUUGGUCUGGUAUAAAUACAAGAAAGAACAGCAACCGCAAAGGAGGAGGGGGAUCGGGGAGAGAUAGAGAGGUUUGGAAAAAAAAGAGACGGCAAUAGAGAGGAGAGCUACGGGGGGUUUCUGAAAAGGGCUUACGGCUGGAAAAAAAAACAGAGUGAAAGAGGGAGACAGAGGCUAGGGAUUUAGAGAGGAGUCAACAACGGAGAGCAAAAGAGGGACCAGAAAGCAAGAGGGAGAGUUUCAGGAUGGCUGGAGAGUUUUGAGGGCGGCGGAAAGAAAGAAGCUGAGAGAAAGCCAUGACGGCUGGGGGGGGAUGACGGCGAGUUUUUGAGAUAGGAGGGGAGACGGCUGAAAGCAAAAGGUCUUGAGGACUGAGAUAAGGGGGAGGACAAUAAGGAAAACAGGAGAGGACUGCUGAGGAUAGCAAAUAGAAUCGGGUCGGCUAGGUUUUGAGAGUGGAAAAGACAGCUUAGAGAGAAAAAAGAGAAAAACCAAGGAGAGGUGGGAGAGCAAGAAAGGUUACGGGCAGAAUAAGAUAAGAGCUCGGGAGAGGAAUCAGGGAGCUACGCAGAAAAGCUGAGGAAGCGAGAGGAAAGAGCAGCAGCGGGAAGAAAACAUCUUCCAGAAAAUCUGCUAUUCAUGCUGAUUUUUUAGAUGCCUUUGGAGGCAAUUUUCCCUAAGGAACCGGCUCCUUAUUGGAGAAUUUAGGUGAUCUGGAAUAUCUACUGAGUCAGAUCUUGAACUUUUGUUCAAGGAUGUUUGCAAAAUAAUGCCGGGAAGACACACGAAUGGCUGCUCGAAGCAGCCUGCUCGCCAAGGCAGCGAUUUCGGCGAUGAAGCUCUCAACUUUGUUUCUGGACUUAGCGUGCGUUGCCUGAGCAACCGACCACAAAGCCUUCCUCAGGUAGUCUCUUCCCCUGUUUGGGUCUAUUUAACAGAUUCUUUUUACAAAAGUCAGAGUCUAUCAGGCAUGAACUGUCGAACUUCUUUUGUCGCUGGUUUGUUAAGUUUGUUCCACAGCUUUGCCAUGUUUGAUCUCCUUGAUCCUCUUGUUGUUACUCUCCUUUAUGUUUUGUGAAUUUUGAGCAUUUAAGUUUGGCAAGUGGAAAAGUGUAAGUCGCGUAAUCUCGUUGGCUUGAAAUAUGCUUCGGAUGAAAACCCAGAAAAUGCAGAAAAUUCUUGCCGGAAGUUUGCAUGUUUGUUUCUAAAUUUCGUGCUUUAAACCAAAGGUUUUACGUUUGCAAAGUUUGCAGAUUGUUUGAGGAUUCUGUUGGCAGAACUCAAAUGGUGUUUAACUGGUUUUUGCGCAUAAAAAGAAAUCUGGUGCAACAAGCUCGAAGCUUUCGGCUUGUUGCAGCAGCGUUAAUGAAGCUCAAAAUUGCUGGCUGAGGUUCUUGCCUGGCCAAAAUCUUCUUUUGAAUUUGCUUACUGUCCUGAGUGAGGCCGCCUGCGUAUUUGCUGCAAUCUGAAGCAGCGACUGGGGCGACAACUUCAGGCUGCAACAUGGCAAGUCUUUUUGGUUGCAGCUAUAGGUUCUUUGGCAUUGUGAAGAUCCGUUUGUGCUAAUUGAUUUUGUGGACAAUGAUCUGCCGUCCGGGUCAUAGCAAUGCCUCAGUUUGUAGUUUUGUUUUUGCUUUGGAGUUCGAUGUUUGGGUAUGGGUAAAUGAUAGAAAUGUUUUUCCUCUGUAAGAGUGUGCUUAAACCAGAAUGGCACAAGAAACUUGAGUUUUAGCACUUCUCCUGUUCUUUUUUUUUUUUUUUUGCUAUCUGCCAUGCUAAAUCUUGUGGCCUGAUAUUAAAGCUGUGGUAUAACCUCCUUGAUGGGAGCUCAGGGACAAAAGUCCCGUUAGUUUUCCUUCAUGAACAUUCUUUUGCAAGGUUUUGUUGCUUUGUCUUUCUGAAAUUCUGGGUUGAAGUUGAGCAAGUGAUCAGGUAAUUUCAUUGCAUUUUGUGUUCGGGAGAUUGUUGGGAACUUUUCUUUCCGUUUGGUCUUGAGCUCUCGCAUUUUGUGGAGGAAGGGAUAGGAUUCAUUUGAGCUACUUUGCAUGAAAGUUGUCUCGGAUGAACAAAGAAAGUCAUAGAGGUUCAUGGUCUUCAUAGCUUGCUGAAAAUUGAUUGCAGAAUGUUUCUCACGUUCUUGCAUGAAGAUUGCAUGAAAUAACUUUCCCAAAAUUGCACUUUGACCCCUUGCCUUCUAACUCAUGCUGCUAUAACCCAUUCAAUUAGAUAAUCUCCUCAAUUUGGUCCUUGGUAGUUUUAAUUUUACAACUUCAUUGCUUGUUCGCUUCAAUUAAUUAUCAUGCUUUGUUUAGAUUGCAAUUAAUGCACGAGUUUAAGAACUUUGCGUCCAAGUGAGCUUGUGUUUACCUAUUCUCUUUAAUUUUCCCAAAUAAUUUGGUACCUUGACCUUUUCUUUUAUUUUGGAGGAUAAAUAAGCGACUCCACCCCAUUAGAGCUCCAUUUCGAGGGAGGUAUAACUUCUUUUAUCUUUUUGUCUCUCCCCUAUGUGAUCCAACGUGCUAAAUGAGAAUUGCAUUUUUACUUUGCUUUCCUUGCUUUUCCUUAAUUCCUUUCAUUUAUGUCAUUUACUUUUGCUUUUAUUAAGUUAUUCUUUUAUGGGGUAUGUGUACACCUCUUGGCUUGUAAUAGAUAGGGCUUGGAGAGCAUUUUGUCCAUUUUUCCCCUUCCCCUUUUGUUUUAGUUAGCGAAUGUAAUAGGUUCAUUAGCUUGAUUGCUUGCCUUUGUUGCUACGUGUUAAUUUGCUUUAUUAGGCUCUUGCAUCUAGUCGAGCAUGCUAAGUGUUAUGUGCUAUGUGUUUAUAUGUGAUUGGCAUGUCUACUUGCUCUCUAUAGUCAUAGAUGAAUAUGAUGGAUGAAUGCACGUCACCACACUAGUCCAACGCUAGUUGUGGCUCAUUGUCCCGUUUUCCACUAGUCCAACGCUAGUAGGAAUUCAUAGAUAUGAGCUAGUCCAAUGCUAGACCCAAUAGGCCGUCCCCUCUUGUUAGUACAUACUUGCAUGUUUCACUACAUUUCAUGCAUUUUCUUAGCUUUUUAGCAUUUGGCACGCCCCUCCAACCCUUUCCCCUUCAUUUUAGGCUUUUGCAUCUUCAUGCUAGUUAUAGGGUACAUUUGCUUGAGGGUCCCCUUUCGAUAAGGGAAACGAGCGAGUGUGGCUACAAAAUAGCCUUAGCACGCUAGUUCUUCCUUCUAAUCAAAGGGAAAAUUAAAGUCGUGAAGUUAGGAGUCAUUCCCGUACCCGACUUGGUGCAUUCCUAUAGGUUCAUACACUUUCAUUCUCAUCAUAUCACUUCCUCACUCUUUUAUCCACAUUUUCUCACAAAUUAUAUUUUUCUCAGUCCACAUGCCAUGUUUGCACAUUCUUCUUUUAUCAUUUAUUUGCUACCUCACAAAUUGCACCCAAUUGCACUUAUAUGCAUCUACUAUUAUAUUUUCAUCCAUUUGCAUACAAACACCUUUAUUUUUCUAAUUUGCACACAUGCACUUGUCUUACAUUCGCACACAUGCACGUUUUCUUACAUUUUCACACUUGCACUCAUGUUUGAGUCUUCAUUUGCAUCAUUCGUGACCUCUAUGAGGACUUUCCUUAUUGGCCACCACAACUCAUGUGGUUGGGACCAAAAAGCCUCGUAAGAGACAUUUUAGGUUUAGGAUUGCAUUUCUUUUUCAUAUCCAUUAGUCAUGUCCAACAUGCAAUGCAUACUUUGGGUAGAAAAAUUAGGAAAAGAAGGGCUAAGUCACGCAACUAGCUUUGGCUAGGGUAAGGGAGUGCCUUAGGCUUUGCCUUUGCCUUCUCCCUUAUCAAACGUGACCCCCGAUCCCUUUCUUUGGUUACGUAGACCUAAAAGUUCUUUAAAAAGGGUUUGUUUACUUUUUUCAAAAAAUCACUUUUUGGGUGACUUGGUACACCCUAACUCUAUACCAAGUGGCGACUCCAUUUUUCAUUCAAAAACCCUUUUUGAACUUUGUUUGGCCAAAUCGUCGCAUUUUCAAGUCCCACGGCUUUUUAUUUUCACACACGUUCACAUACAUAUUCCACACACUACUUUCAUUCACAUCAUUCAAAAAGUGGGGCGCGACAAAAAUCAUUUGGGUUUGGAUGGUCAGGUCACGGAAAAGUUGAAGGAGGUUUCUUUACGAGUGCUACAGGUACUGCACAUGUAGUUGUUGCAGAUCAUUAGGGGGCUGUUGCAUCUGGUUUUGCUCCCAUAAACAAUGUUAAUUCGGCUUCUACAAAUCCAGCAGUGCCGUCGAUGGAGCCUGUAAUGCGACGGUGUAGUGAUGAUGAAUCGGAGUCUAGUGUUGAGAAGGAGGGUGACUAGGUUAGGAAUGUCUCUCCUCUGCAUUCUGUAAACAAAACCAGGGAGCUGAACUCUUCGGCAGUAGGAAUUCUUGAUGGGAUGUCAAAGCCGGCAAGUCCAAGGGUAUCCAAGCAAAAUUCCUUUCUAAUAGACAAUUACAUUUGGCCUCAAUUAAUUUGCAGAAUUCUUUCUAGAUUUUGUCCAAUGAUUAAUGGGCUAUUUUGGAACAUUCACGGAAUAUCAAAACACCCCAAUUUUGGAAGACUUAAAAAGUUAAUUCAGUUGCAUUGAGUUCAAAUUUUAGCAAUAUGUGACCCCCGUUAUCGGUGGAGAAGGCUGAACAGUAUCGUCGCCGUUUGAAUUUCAGUAAUCUUAUGUGUAAUUCUGCUGGAUCAACUUGGUUAUUUUAUCAGGAUAGCUUUGCAGUAGUGGUAGUUGGAGAGUGUUCGCAGCAUUUAUCGGUCGAGUUUUCCCACUUUCAAUUGCUGGUCUCUGUCACUUUGUCUUUUGUGCAUGCCAGAUGUACUGCUUUUAAAGGAGAGGGACUAUGGGAGGGUUUACUACAAGAUAAUCCAGGCAUGGGUGCGUGGCUUGUUGGAGGGGAUUUUAAUGUAGUAACAAAGGCUCACGAGAAAAGAGGUCGUAAGCCUUUCAAUCCUUCUGAGGCAGUAGAGUUCUUGCAAUUCUUGGGUGAAACAAAUCUUCUUGACGUAGGAUUGUUUGGAGCACAUUACACAUGGUGGAACAACCGUCAUGGUCCUGUGAGAAUUUGGAAGAGGUUAGAUAGGGUAUUGGUUAAUGAGGCAUGUUACGACUUAGGUCUCCUGUUCUCGGUCUCGCAUCUAGCUCGAGAACCGUUUGAUCAUGCCCCGCUUUUAAUUUCUGUGACUACAAGAUUGGAUGAUAAGCCACAUCCUUUCAGGUUUUUAAACUUGUGGAUGUCGCAGGAAGAUUUUUUACAGGUUAUUAAUGAUUCUUGGAUGCAACCCCGUGUGGGGUUACCAAUACGGGUUCUUUGUCUUAAAUUGAAACGGUUUAGGUGUGAUAUUCAAUGGUUGAAUAAAGAGGUUUUUGGGGACAUUUUCCAGGUUGUGAAACAGAAGGAAGAGGAGGUGAGACUUGCUGAAGCUAGAAUGGAGGAGGAUGAUUCGGACGAGGUACAAGCAGAGUUGCAUUUAGCUCAAACGAGGCUACGUAAUGUAUUGUGUAUAGAAGAGUAGUUUUGGAAGCAAAAAGCGCCGAGUACGAUGGAUUUAGGAAGGGAAUUGGAAUACCAAGUUCUUCCAUUCGGUGGUUAAACAAUGGAGACUAUAGUCAGGGAUUCACAAAAUAAAGGAUGAGGGAAGACAUUGGGUGGAUUCUGAGGCUAGGAUAGGGGAGGCGGCUGCUCAAUUCUUUGAAAUGCUGUUCACGGACUUGAAGCCCAUUUCUCCUUUGAGUUUGUUAGAGUCUAUUCCUAAGCUCGUGUCAAGGGAGGAUAAUGAGAUGUUGGAGGCACUACCAAGAAAGGAGGAGGUCCGUCGUGUGAUGUUUGACAUGGAUGGUGAAAGCACGCCUGGCCCGGAUAGAUAUACGAGUCGAUUUUUUAAAUUUGCUUGGCAAAUAAUUAGUGAAGAUGUUUUCAAGGUGGUGCUUAGUUUCUUUUGUGGUGCAGAACUACCGAAAGCUAUCACAGCUACUUCAAUUAUGCUAAUUCCAAAGGUGGACCAGCCUCACGACUUUUUGCAAUUUCGUCCAAUCAACUUGUGUAAUUUUUUCAACAAGAUUUUCUCUAGAGUACUGGCCGAUAGGCUUGCUGCUGUACUUCCAAAAAUCAUUUCACCACAGCAAAGUGGGUCUGUAUAUGGUCGCCUCAUUUUGGAUAAUUUUUUACUCGUACAGGAGCUUAUGGCUGGAAUUGGUAAAAGGGCAAAUAGUGGAAAUAUAGCUUUAAAGCUUAACAUGUCCAUAGUUUACAAUUGCAUGUCAUGGCUAUUUUUUACGAUAGUUUUGAGAGCCUUUGGAUUUGGGGAGAUAUGGAUUGACAUGGUUUGGAGUAGGAGUGACAAUUCCUGAUACGACUCGAAAAUACGACACGAACCUAACACGAAAUUAAUGGGUUUGGAUUGAGGUUUCGGGGAUUCAGGUCAGAAUCGGAUCGAACCCGAUGAAUCCGAAAAGAAAACAGGUCGAUUUCGGGUCAACCCAUGGUGACCUGAUAUGACCCAAUAUGACCCGUUUACGAAUUAAAAAUAAUUUAAUAAACAUAAAAAUUAUUUUAUCUAACUAAACUAAAUAGUCUAAAUCAUUCUUUUUUCAAAGGUAUUAAUUACUUAAUCCUAAAUGAAUUUAUUUAACUUGUGUGAAGUUGAAAUUAUUAUAUUUGGAUAAAUAAUAUAUUAUGUUAUUUUUGACUUUUAUGCUGUUUUAAUUUAUUUUAUAUUUGGUUUGGGAUAAACCACUUUUACGGUGUUUAAUUUAUUUUAGAUUUGGUUUGAAAUUAUUUAUUUAAAUUUUUAUUACUUGAUGAUGUAAUUAAUUUUGUAAGAAAUUGAUUUUAUUAGAAAUUAAGUGAUAAAUUAAUAAAUUAAAAUUAAGUUUCGGGUCAUUUCGGGUCGACCUGUCAACCCGAAAUUUUCGAAUUCGUGUCAGGUAUCCUGACCCGUUUCGAGUUGACGGGUCAAGUUCAGAUCAGUGGGUUUUUUUGUUAUACUUGGGCCUCAAUCCGACCCGCCAACUCGAACUUGACCCGAUUGCCACCCCUAGUUUGGAGGUUGGUGUCGAGUUCGUGGUUUUCUGUGAUUGUUAAUGGGGCAGGCAUUGGCUUUUUCAAGUUUACUAGGGGCUUCGGCAAGGAGACCUUCUGUCCCCAACUCUCUUUAUAAUUGGGCUGGGGUGUUGUUUCACUCAUUAAAUAGCUUGUUGGAUAAGCCUUUGUUUCCCACGGGGUUGUCCAAGGAUUACACACCUUAGUUAUGCUGAUGAUAUUGUGAUAUUUUCAAGUGUGGAUCCUUCGUCCUUGGAGUUGAUUAUUCAGACGCUUGGGGCUUAUGAGGGGGCAACUAGCCGAAGGAUCAAAGUGCAGAAAUUCAGUUUUUUGGUGCAUGAGAAGCUUUCGUCAUGUCAUAAAGCUAGCGUGCAGCGAAUUACUGGUUUUACUCAUAGAUCUUUUCCUGUCCGAUACCUGGGGUAUCCGCUAUUUUGUGGGAGAUGCAAGACAGUUUACUUCAUGGAGUUGAUACAGGCUGUGAGUAAUAAAGUGACGUCGUGGAGGAACCGGUUCCUAUCUUUUAAGGGAAGGAUUACUUUGAUCAAACAUAUUUUGGCAUCUAUACCUAUCCAUCUGCUAGCCGAAUCAUGCCCUUCGAAGGGAAUUUUAUCGAUGGUUGAGCAGAUGAUGGCAAAUUUCCUUUGGAGGGAAAGGGAAGAUGGCCUUAGAUAUCACUGGAUCAAGUGGCAGGACCUAUGUUCUUUGACGACACAGGGAGGAAUAGGGGUCGAUUCAAUGGUGGAGGUUUUCACGGCAUUCUCAAUGAAGUUAUGGUGGCGAUUUCGGAUGAGUGAUUGUUUAUGGUCUGAUUUUAUGAAGGCCAAAUACUGCCAGUCAAAUCAUCCAUGUAUGGUAGGAGUAACUCGAACCAGUUCAUAUUCCUGGAGAUGAAUGGUUCAGGUUAGGGAGCUUGUCGAGAAUCAUAUUUGCUGGUUGUUGCGAUUAGGACAGUGUAAUUUCUGGUUCGAUAAUUGGCUAGGGUUUGUCCCUUUAUGUCAAUGGUUAGAAAGUGUUUCGGAUCACUUAGCUCAGAAUUUUCUUCUGAAUGGGCAUUGGGAUCGACAAUUGAUAGUCCAGUGGGUUCCGGAUUUUAUUGCCUCUGAGAUUUUGGGCAAGUCAGCACCUGCUCUAGAGGGAAAUGAUUAUGCUAUUUGGUGUUUAACUGAGUUUGGAAGGUUCUCGGUUUCUUCUUCUUACCAGGUGAUUCGGGCUCAGGAGUGUUCUUCGUUUAUGUUCUCUGAGGUCUGGAAUAGUGUUAUCCCUAUAAAAAUAUCCUUUUUUAUGGUGAGGUUUUUGCAGGAUUGGCUGCCGUUGGCAAAUUCAUUGUGUAGGCUUAGUAUUCAUGGUCCCCCAAAAUGCUUUUACUGUGCGCAGCCCUGAACAAAGUUUGUCGAUCAUGUGUUCUCUGAGGGAGACUUAGCUAGGCGCAUGUGGAUAAUCUUUGGGAAUGUGGCUGGUAUAUCUUAUAGAGGGACUGGUGUCCAUUCUUGAUUGUCCGAGUGGUGGUAUCAACCAAGGUGCAAUGGAUGUUUGGAUCUUCUUUUUGGACUUUUUCCAAGCCUAAUAUGCUGGAAUAUUUGGAAGGCCCGAAAUUGUGCGGUUUUUGAAGGGCGGUGCCUCUGUGUGCAGUCCAUUUGUUAUAGCAUCUUUCUGGAUUUGGUGGGGAUGGUGUCUGGAAAAUUUAGGUAGGAGGUAGUGGAUUGUGUUUCAUGGGAGACUUUUUACUCUAAUGCUGCUUCUUGGAAAGCUUGUUGUUCCUAUAGAUUAGUGGUUUGGGAGAAACCUUUGCAAGGGCAUUAUAAGUUAAAUACGAACGGUCGUUCCUUGGGAAAUCCAGGUGCAAGUGGUGGUAGGGUUGUUUUGAGAGAUUCGUAGGGUGGCUUACUUUUUACUUUUUCUAUUCCAUUAGGUUUGCUUACAAGUUUUCAAGUUGAGGUGAAAGUUCUUUUUGGGGUGGAGUAGUGUCUUCAAUGGGGCUACUCUCCUAUUCAGGUGGAGGUUGAUUCGCUUGUUCUAGUUUAUGUCGUCCAAGGCAGAUGUGAUUGUCCUUGGUUUGUUAGGUCGGAUAUAGAAGCUCUAAAGGAGAAGAGAGGUUGUUUUGGGACGGUUGCUCAUUGCUAUAGGGAAGCUAAUCAGGUUACGGAUGUUUAGUCGAAAGUUGGGGCGCAAUUAUCCUCGAUUGCUAUCUAUAAUUCAUGCUCGGAGUUACCAAGGUUAGUGCAAGGUGUGGUUAUGUUGGAUAGAUCAGGAACUCCCUCUAUUCAUCGAAAAUUUAGUCGAUAGCCGUGAGGAUUGCUUUGAUGUAUUCACUGGAGGUUGGGUUUAAUUCCCUCUUCGUUUUUACUUUUUCCGGUCUUAAUAAUAUUUGGGGGUGGCAUCCCUCCUUGUGAACGGGGUUAGCCAAAAAAAAAAAAAAAAAGAGAGCGAAGAGGAAGAAAUACUCAUUCAAGUGAAGAAACUCGUUCUCCAAGCUUCAUCAUCUUCAUUGCCAUAAAAAAUACAUUGUUACACCAAGAGUUCUUCAAGUUCUCCAAGGGAAAAUAAAAAUUAGAUCUAAAACUACACUAAACUAAGCUAGAGAAGAAAGAAAAGCAAAAGUUUUCUUUCUAGCCAAGAUCUGAUCUCUCUCUCUCUCUCCAAUAAUGAGUUUUUUCUUACUAAGAGUCAAGAAAAGAAGCUCGUAGAUGCCCUAAAAGUUGGUAUGAGUCGUCCGUUUAUGUCUUGUCAAAGAUGGAGUAAGAAACACAAAUCAUGCGAGUUGGCAACUUGCGGCUACGACCAAUCCCUUGAGGGUUCGUUGAGAACCUGUGGGGGGAUUGUGAAGAUUCCCUUGCAUGUGAUUCUCUGUUUUUUCUCUUUGACAUUAACAUUCUGCCCAUAAUGCCCUGCAAAAUCCACUGAGAAACCCUUGAGGUUUUCUCUCUGUUUCUUUUAAGCUUUCCAUUCUUCAUCCUUGAACUGCACCACCGCCUUUAAACAUUGUUGUGACUUCUCAAGUUUUUAAUCCUCACUUUGUUAGUUCACCAUUUCACUUCCAAUUGAAUCAUUUUCCCUACAAAAACAAAGAGAUUUUACAAAUAAAAUGACAAGAUCACAACUAAUUCAUCUAUCAACUUAAGGUGCAAAUUAAAGACAAAAGUGAACAACUUAUACCAAUUAACCUUACAAAUUGACUAAAAAAUAAUAUAAAACACCUUCAAAAGAUCAUAAAAUUAGCCCUUGUCAACUUCCCCAUACUUGAAAUCGUUACUUGUGCUCAAACAAUAUCAAUAACUACACGACCACUGAUCCAAGUGCUUAGCCAAAUAACACACUUUUUCAAAUUCAAAUCCCAUAACUCAGUAAUUAACCAUUAUGCAAUCAUUCAAAUUACACUAAAUACUCGUAAUAUUUAGUAAAGGCGAGACAAUCAUACUCAAAUUUAACUAUGCUCAAUUUUUCUUACCUUACGUAACUCCACAAGUAAGCUACUCAUACAGUCAAAAGAUAGCUAACACUUUCCUAUAAUAAUCUUUUUCUCAAAUCAUAAGCUUAAAUAGGGAAUUAUUCACACAAACUAUCAACAAAUACUUAAGUAUGAAAGUGUCAUUUGAUGCGAAGAUCGAUAUUUUUAUGUGAGGACCCCUGAUACUCAAUACUUCCAUAUUCAAGUCACUCAACUACUCCUAAUUGAAGUUCCUUUUCAUGCGAAAAUUGAUAUUUUUAAAUGAAAACUCUCGAUUACUCGGUAUAAGAAUCAUUGGAGUAAAACUCUUAUUUUAAUUUUUUCUUUUUUCUCCUUUUUUAUAUUCUUUUCUGUCUCUUUUUCUUACGAGAUAUACUAUCCCUCUUAAAGCAAUAUAUAGUAGGAAGAGUAUCACUUAGUUAAGUAUAUCAAUCACUUAAUUGUAAAUUUAAGUAAAAGGAAGAAAUCUCAGUAAACAUGCAAAUGCAAACAUAAUUCUCCCUACUUUACUAAAUCUACUUUCUAAAAUGUAAAAUCCUUACCACCUAAUAGCUAAUUACAAAUCACAUGGGAAAUGAAUCAUUCAAAAGAAAAUUACUAAUCCAACAAGUAGGGGAGUUGACUACUUCAAAUUAAAAUUUUGUUAACAUUUCUCAAACUUUUUGGGUCAUAGUAAGGUUUUGGAAAAUUUUUGAUAGACUUUCUCUUUAUAAUUGGACGAAACUCCUUGCCAGCAAACCCGAAUUUCAAAAAAUUUUCCACAAGGCAAUAUUUCUAAAAUACAUUCCAACAUUUCCAACAUAAUUCAGGUCAACAAUCAUCAUCACUCAAUCACAAAAAAUUCAAGUUACCUAUUUUCUUCCUCUACACUUAAAAUUCACAUUGUCCUCAAUGUGAAGGAUAGGAAAAAGAUAAAGGAGAAAACGAUGCUCUCCUUUUUUUAAGCAAUUGAUGAUCAAGACCAUGUGGUGACGUCCUCCAUAGAUACACAAUAACAAAAGAUCAAAGUCAAGAAUACAUCAGCUUUCAUCUCAUUUAUAAGCUCUUGCAUCGCCUUGUUGAAUCUGUGGUGAAAUGGGAUCUUGGAUGUCAAGUUGUCUUUCAACACGAGCCAUGGUACUUAGGUAACACCACUUUAACAAAUCAAUAUGAAUCCUCAAAUGUUGCAAAUGAGUUAAUUAAUAAAGCAACAACUCAUACAAGGACCCUAGAUAUAUAGAAAAUUAUCUUUUAACAACAUAUAUGCCUACCUAGAGAAUUUGUAACACGCUUAGGCAUUGAUUUCGUGACAACUUUAGCUGAAGACUAUAAACUAUUAAAGCACCAAUUUAAAGUUGCCAAGAAAAUUCCAAAAACCAAGAGAAACACCUUUCCCAAAUACAAAACCAUCACCACAUACCAUAAAUAUCUCCAACAAUAUGCAUUAUGUCCUCGCAACAUCAUAAUCAAGACAAACUUGUGAGCUCUGAAAUUACUUUAGAUUUGCAUUUAUCAGUAUAUCUCAACUUCACAAUUCACAAUGAGGUUCAUUUAUUGAAAAAUGGGCACUUAUAUGUCACAAAAAAUCCAACAAUAGGCAUAAUGAAACUAAACAAAUACCACAUGAAAAUUGCCUAUUAUUCAAAGAGUUCAAAAAAUGGCAUUUUUCUUAAUUCCUCAUAUUGCAUCAAUUUCAACCACAAUAGGCAAAUUAACAUGCUUAUGGAAGUAAAAUGAGCUCAACUAAACAUCUAAGCAACAAUAAAAUUCACCAAGAAAUUCAUCCAUAAAUUCAAGAAAAUUUAGCAAUGAUGAAAUUUAAUUGAGCCAAAUAAAGUCAAGAAACUUACUUGGGACUUGUAUAGUGAUGAAAUGCAAACAAAUGAUGCAUAAAUCCCCAAAAAUUUAACUCAAAUCAACUCCAAAUCGAAAGAAAUGAAAAUCUAAAAACCCUAAGAUUCUUGAGCUAGAUUUUCAAAAGUUGGUGCUUUUGAUAAAGUUUGAUGCUUAGAAGAUGUUCACAAGAUGUUGAGAAAUGACUUGGUAGUGAUUUUGAGGGGUUUAAUUGGUGAAAAUUGGAAAUUUAGUGAAGUGGGUGUGUGGGUUGAAGAGUUUUGUGUGAAAAAGAAGGAGAAAUUGGAGAAUAAAGAUCACAUUUCGCUUAUUUUGAACUCCUUUUUGUGGAGAAUCCCUUGCACUAUUCGUUAGAAACCCUCGAGGGUUUCUCCCAUGGAUUAUGGCCAGAAGCUCCAAAUCAACUUAUUCAUUCAACACUUGAAAAUUUUCUCCAAGGCAACAUUUCUCACCAACAAAUAAAAUGAAAUCAAUCCUUAAACUACACAUGCACCUUGUUCACCAUAUUUUGCAUUCAAAUGCUCAAAAUGCAUAGUACAAAUAUGAAAACUCCUUCAAUGCAUCAUCUAAGAGGAAAAUUGCAAUUUUAGUCAUGUUUGCGACUCUUCUUGACAUUGUGACCUACAAAAUACAUAAAAACUUAUAUUAGACUACAUGAACAUAAGAAAAAAGAAAAACAUAAGAUUAACACUAAAUCGUUGGGUUGCUUCCCAACCAUCACUUUGUUUAAAGUCGUUAAGUUCGACUUCAUUUUUCAACUUCUCAACUAGAAGGGAGGAGGGCUAAAUCCUCUCCAAGGGCUAGAGUUCCCAAACCAUCCCUCCGUGUAAUGAGUAGGACAAUGCUUUUCUUUAUCUAACAACAUCAAAUGCAUAGGAUGAUUUUUAGUUUGAUCAAAAUAAUGUUCAUCAACAUUAUAUGGAUAGAUGGGAAUACUUACCCUUUUCAAAUUCACUCAAGGUAUCACUUUUCACGUUAUCAAAUUGAGGAAAGUGUUCAAAUUCCUUACUAAACUUGUCAUCCUUUGAUCCAUUCAAGCCUUGGUCAUGCUUCUCUUGAUAAUAAGUACUUCUUUCUUCCUUUUCCUCUAUCUCAUGAGUAGCUGUAAUAACCUGUGAAUCCUCCAAACUAGAGUUAGUAGAGUGAACACACUUUCCAUUAGACAAAUUAAAAACUACAGUUUUAUCAUUCACUGUGAAUAAAAGCUUACCUUCUUGUACAUCAAUUAAUGUACUAGUGGUGGUAAGAAAUUGUCUAACUAAUAUUAUAGGCAUGUUCACAUCCUCCUCCAUACCUAAAACAACAAAAUCUAAAGGUAUAACAAAAUUUUCAAUUUUCAUGAGCACAUUUUCUGGUACACUUAUAGGAUACUUGAUUGUCCUAUCUACCAACUACAAUGUAGCUUUUGAUUCGGUUAACCCCAACUUUCUAGCAAUAGACAAAGGAAUCAAUGGUACACUUGCAUCUGAAUCACAUAAAGCAUUUGAAAACUCAAUAUUACCAAUAGUGCAAAAUAUAGAAAAACUACUAGGAUCCUCUAAUUUUGGAGGGAGUUUGUUUUGAAUGACUACACUAUAUUCCUCUGUUAAUGCAAUUACCUCAUUAUCCACAAGCUUACUUUUCUUGGACAUGGUAUCCUUCAAAAAUCGAGUAUAAGAAGGAAUCUACACAAUAUCAAGGAGAAGAAUAUUAAUAUGUAAUUGCUUAAAAAUCUUCAAAAACUUAUCAAACUCCCAUUUUUGCUUCUCUUGCUCAAACCUGUGAGGAAAAGGAAUAGAAGAAUUAAUACUAACAUUUAAGAGAAACUUUAGGAAUAGGUAAAUCCACAUCAAUAACUACAGGAUUUUUCUCUUUGUUAAUUUCUCUAUUUUCAUGCUUUUUCUCUUCCUUAUUCUUACAAGACACACCAAGGUUAGGAUCCUUCAAUUGCUUGCACAAACAGAGACAUCAUGAUUGCCUCCACACAAAUUACAAGAAGCAACAAUUGCAUUUGAACUACAAGUUGAACUUGAACCAACUUGCCUAUUAAGCAUUUUGACCACAUAAUCCAAUUUUGCGGCCAACAAGUUGAAAGAGUCUAUCUAUCUCAUACAUACCAGUUGUUCUGUGAGAACCCGUAUUGCCCUAAUAUUUUCCUAGGGUUUUUCCCCUUAAUUGCAAGUUUUCUGCAGUUUUUUGGCUUAGGAAAAUUUUCUUGGUGGAUUUUAUGAGUAAUUAUAGUUUUUAGAUGAUUUUUCUAGCAUUGGGUAGUUUUUGAAAAAUUAAGGAUAUAGAAAGGACGUGGGACCCACUAGUGCGAAAAGUUCAGAAAAAUUCGGCCAAUAAGAUUAAGUUCCGGAUACUGAGUGAAAUUUAUCGGGUGUUAAGAGAUAAGAAGAGGAGGUGAUUUGAUUGAUGUGAGAGAGACUUAAAGGAUAGAAAUGCAUUUAAUAGAGUGCCAAGUGGCACUUUCUCAUUGGUUGGACUUUUUGACUUUUGACCCUUAAGUUAAAUAUCUCAAAACAAUUGACUAAAAAUCACCAUUUUUCACUCCUUGGUGGCCGACUCUCUUAAGCUCAAGAAGGAAGAAGAUUUCUCCAAUUUUCAAGCUUCCAUUUAGCUCAAUCUUCCAAACCAAUUGCAUCAACUAGUUUCUACUCCAUAGAAUUCUUCCAUUUGGUGCUAGUGAGUGUUUUGGUGAAGUUUUUUGGAGAAGCUAAGGUGGUCUACAACUUUCUCUCUCUUGUUUACUUGGUAAGUGAUGAUUACAUUUCCUCUUACACCUAAUGAUGUUUAAUAUGUGCCUAAUGGUGGCUAUAGUGUUGGAAAUUGUGGUUUAUUUCUUGGUUUGAGAUGAAUUGGUGAAGUUUUUAUUUUUUUGAGGAAUUUUCUGGUUUAAUGUGAUCAUGGUGUUGUGGUUAUUUAUGAUGGUUGGUAAUGAGGGGUUAUGACUCUAGUAGGUGUGUAUGAUAGGAAAUUGUAACCAAUUUUGGGUUUGGAUUGAAAUGUGAAAAGUUAGGGUUUCAUAACCCCCUUUUCUGUCCGGUUUUGGAUCAUAUGAUUAGAGGCCGAAUUGGCCUUUACUUAAAACAUUAAAGUUGUAGGUAUUGAUGUGUUUGAGAUGCCUGUAAAAUUUCAGGUCAUUUGGAGUAGUGUAGAGUGAGAUAUGUCAUUUUUACUGUUGCUGUCAUGGGUGAUCAGAAUGUGCGAACUGCGAUUGUAAUCGUCUGUUUUGACUGGAAUUGCCUUGGAUUUAGAUGUUGGUGUCUUCUGAUGAAAUUUAUCUUGAUGUCUUAGCUAUCAUAUGCCUUUGGAAGCAAUGCAUUUGGACCUGUGUAGACUGAGUUGGACUAAUUACAGUAUAGUGUGAUUUGUCAACCUGCAAUUACAGUUCUGGGUUGGUAUUCUGCCUUUUUGACCUAGUUGUGUUAGGAUUUGGACUGAGUGGCCUUCUACAUUGUUGUAGCCCUGUCUUUUAGCUUCGAGAUGGUGGGUCUUACACCCUCAUCCGAUAAGCGUAGCGCAUUUUGUGCCAUUACCGCAUUAGGAGGCCAAAACUGUUUUUGUUGUUGGAUCAUACGAGUUACAUUUCCUGAUUUUCUGGUUUGCUUUUAUGCUUAUAUAUGCAUAUGAAACCCUAUUGGGGUUGUUAUUGGCAUGGCUUUAUGACUCGUUAUCGAGUCUUAUGGUAUUUGUUUACGUGUUUUAGGACGUGACGAGGGUUCACGGCGACCUUUUUAACAUCGGUGCAUGAAACAUCACGUAGUUGAGUGGUGAGUAUACUACUCACUUGGAUGUUUAUAACGUGGCUUUGCUAUAUGUGAUUGUGAUGCCUUGAAGGCUUGUUUGGCUAUUGGAAAUGAUUAAGGUGAGGGUGUACUUGACCGCCCUCAUCCUUUUAUCUUGUUAAUGACUGUUUACUGUUUCACCGUAAUACUGCACUGGCUAUAUGAGAUAUUGCAUUCUAUUCAUGGAAAACUGAUUGGGUGUCGGUUGGACGAGUAUCCAACGGCCCUACUGUACUGAGCUCGACCCCGUUGGCAUUCAAUUGAAUCGAGCCAGCGAGGGCUUGGUCGUGAAAAUUGACUAGCCACGGGGACUGAAAUGGGAAUCUUGUGGUAAUGAGACCCUUGGUUCCGGUGUACUCGAGUAUCACCUAAAGCUACUGCUUGGAGUGCGGGCCCGGUUGGGGUAUGUUGGGUGGAAGGAAUGGAAGUGAAGUGAGGUCUACGGUUUGGCACUUUUAUCAUUGACGGAGGGUCAAUGAAGUUGGAUCAAGAAAGUAAGCGUGGAAAUGGGCUCUUGAGAGCCGUCCGUAUCCUUUUAUUGAUUUGUUUUGCUUUUUAUUGGUAUACUUGAAAUGAACGAUUAUGCUUAAGUGAUCUUGGUUGAUUGUGUGAUAGUUGCUCACUGAGCUUUAGCUCACUCCGUUCCAUUUGUUUUCCUUACAGGAAAAUGAUCACUUUUGGAAGAUUACACUUGUUUGUUGCCAAAUUGAGCCAUGUAUAUGUUUAUUUUGAAUAGCUCUUUGCAUGAAACCCUAAUGUGUAUUGGGUUCAUCUUUUGAUUGGCAGACCGAGCUUUGUCUACCUAUGAUGAAUAGUUUUGACAUGCCGAUUUGGUUGUAAAUGUCGAAUUGCUAUGUAUUAAUGUUUGGUGGGAUCUCGGAUUCUGCUGUCCCAGGCCACUAUUCAUCGUUUUCAUUUUUUUUUAUUUUGUUCUUAUGAUACUUGUGGCUUGUCCGAGCGCGCUUUUACUUUCCCGAAACGUUCUAGAUCGCGUGUAACUGCCCGUAGUCCUGGCGAGAGCUGGGCAGGCAGUCCGCUAACCCCUUUGGUUCGCCUUAGGGGAAGGUGGGACUGUCACAUGUUCACUUAAGAAUAUCUUUUUCGUUAGCCUAUUGGUAGUUAUUUGCGCCAUUCCUCAACUAACUUGCCUAUCAAAGCUCCACCGGCUACUGUAUCUAUAUGAGUCUUUGUCAGAUAGGUGAGUCCAUUGUAGAAUGUGUGGACGAUGAGCCAAUCGGGUAGACCAUGGUGUGGACAUUUUCGUUGUAACUUCCAAAAUUGCUCGCGAGCCUCAUACAAUGCCUUCCUGUUGACAAAAUCUUUUUUUGUCCAUGAGAAGUUUAGCAAUCUUGCCAAGUGGAAAGAAUUUAUUUAGGAAAGCUUUUGAAAAAUUGGCCCAAGUAGUGGAAGUGUUGGGUGAAUGUGAUUGUAACCAAACCUUGGCUUUAUUUCUUAAUGAAAAUAGGAACAAUCUAAAACUAAUUGCUUCAUCACUAACACCAUUAAUUUUUUUGAUCAAAGAAAUAUAUUUAUUCAACCUCAAAGAAGGAUACUACAUUUUGGAAGUGUUACAAUUGACCCUAAAUCUUCGAAAAGAAGGAAAUGCAAGCUUGUCCAAGCGACAUUCUCCCCUGGCCACUGUUGGCAAUUCAGUGAUACGUUCGUAGACACAAACCAAUUGGUCAGGAUGGGCACAACCCUCAUUCGACAACACAUCCGCCACCUUGUUAGCUUCCCUAUAGCAAUGUGUGAUUUGAAAACCUCCCAGGGCCACUUUCCAAAUAUGAUCCACCUCCCUACUGAUAGACCAUGGACACCGGCAAAUAUUCAAAAGAAUGCGUACUAACAUCAGAGAAUCUGACUCAAUAACCAGAUUAUCAAUGAAACCUCUUCGUAAACAUAACUGUAGCCCAAUAAGCAAUGCUUUGGCUUCCGCUUGUAAGCUGGUAGCAUUCCCAAGAUACCCAGAGAACGCAAAUACCAUAUUUCUCGUAGAGUUCCAAAGAAUCCCCCCUCUACUGCUCACUCUCGGGUUGACUUUUGAGCAACCAUCUAUAUUAAGCUUUGCCGGGGAUUGCCAUCGAAUUUGUUGGAUUUGGAAGGCAUCAGGCCGACACUCCACCAUGUCCAAGAACAUAGGCCACUGUAACACUUACUGCAACUCUGCGAAUUUUAGCCCAUAAGAAUCCCUUAAAACCCGAAAAAUGGCCUGACAAACAAUAGCUGAGAUCUGCACGGUCCCAUGGAAGACCGCUUUAUUCCUAGCCUUCCAAAUGUGCCAACAGAUGAGAAUAGGUAAGAGAUGAAACACAAACUUAAGCCUUUCAGAUUUGGCAAGCUUAAGCCACCAACUACCCAAACACACUUGAAAAUGUCCUCUAGUGAAAACCAUCCCACACAACGACCCAAAAAACCUCCAUACAUCAGUCACAAUCACCCCCUCCAUGAAUAAGUGUCGUAUUGAUUUAGAUUGCGGUACCGAACAGUAGGAGCACUUUGAUGGUAGAUGAAACCUGUAUGUAGCUAACAUGUCAUCCAGAGGAAGACGACUACGCAACAGCCACAGCAUAAAGAAGGACACCUUCAAGGGAACACUAGCAUGCCAUACUUGUUUAAGCAGGAAUGAUGAUGGGUUAACCUCGUGAAGCUCUCUAUUUGCAGAUGAUAGAGAAAACUGACCCGAACUUGAUGCCGUCCAUAUCAUUCUAUCUGGGGAAUCCCCAUCUGGACCAACCACCGCCAAAACUUGCUGGAUAAUGUCGACCGGCAGAACUUCCACUAGCCUCCACGUGACCCAUGUCCCAUUCUCCAUAAUGUCUUGAAAAGAGAGACCCUCCUGCACCUUUACUCUCAGAUAGAGAGCCCUAGAUCCAAUCCCAUUAUCAUACCAAAAGUUACAACGUCCAUCUUGGAGCCUUCACCCAAUAAAUAGCUCUGCGAACCCCCUAAUUUUCAGUAUUCUUCUCCAUGUUGUAGAGUUUAGGGGAGACAUGGAAAUUUGGCAGGGGUGAAGCUUCUUACAGUAGUUAGUACGCAGAAAUCUUGCCCACAAGGAAAGACCACACCUGAAAUUCCACCAUAACUUAUAAGAGAAGGCCUUAUAAGUGUCACUGAUCGGACGAAAACCCACCCUACCUUUGUUUGGAGGAUAGCACAAGUCCCUCCACCGGAUCCAAUGGAAUUUAUUCCCCUCUCGACCUGACCCCUAAAGAAAAUUCACACAAACCCCCUCAAUCAAUCGAAAAAUUCCUUUUAGUAUCAUGCCUGUGGCGACCCCACUUUUCCCUAAGGCGAACCAGAGGGUUGGCGGGCCGUCUGCCUAACUCUCGCCAGGACUCACGCAAGCAAUCUAGCCCAAAUCCUUCCGACGAAUACCCUAAGCUAUUACAACACCGUUUCCUUCCAAAUAGACUGAUAACUAAAUCCUCAUUAACUUCAAAGAUAACAGCAUUUUUAAGAUAGCCAAUCGUCGACUCUUAAAUACCUCACGCGUUACAAACUAGGCAACAAAAACAUACAAUCCAAAUACAUUAUUACAAGCCAAAUAACAAUUCCAGGGUUUACACUUUUCCAGCUUCAAGUGGUAACCCAAGACAAAAGUACAUUGAUUUAUUCGAAUUACAUUAUGAACUGCAAACCAAAGUCACAAGGUUCAAAUACAUUCAUAAGCAAAUAUAAGUAGGCUCAGAUUUCUCAAACGUCAAGACCUGUCAAGGAAAACAAAUGAACGUGGGGUGAGCUAAAACUUAGUGGUGCCCCAAAACAUGCAAUUAAAUAAAACAACUAACACGUAUUGAUUUCAACUGAAGUAAACAACUAGGAAAGCACAUAACAGUACAAAGUAGGAUACGGGGGCUCUCAGGAGCCAUUUUCCGCGCUUGAUCAAAAUUUACCGUAGUUGACCCUCCGUCAACUCUCACUACUUACGGUCCAUGUAGAACUUCUUAUUUUACUUAACUCCGGCCACCGAUCAUACCCCAGCUCCGGGCCCGCACGACAAGAUAGAUGAGAGCGGUAGUACUCGAGUAUACCCCCUGGAUAAACUAGUCGAGGGAUUCACCCAACGACAUCACGAAAUAAGAAAGCAGUAAUAUUCGAAUAUACCCUUUGGAUAAUUAGUCGAGGGAUUCACCCAACGACGUCACAAAAUAAGAAAGCAGUAAUAUUCGAAUAUACCCUUUGGAUAAUUAGUCGAGGGAUUCACCCAACGACGACAUGAUAGAUGAGAGCGGUAGUACUCGAGUAUACCCCCUGGAUAAACUAGUCGAGGGAUUCACUCAACGACUUUACGUCCAACACUUGAUUACCAGGUCAGGAUAAGAGGCCCUCCCACCCUUAAGGUGUGGUACAUUCCCCUGCCUAGUAAUUUAGCACUUAGCAAGCGCAAGCAAGAUAUUCACGAAAACACUUCACACAAGUCACAACUCGAACGGCUAGUGUGAUAAAGUACACACUGCACACUUCGAUGGAUCAGAAAUCAUUUUUGGCAAUUACCACAUAUCGAGUCAAGAAAGCACUUUAACCAAAUAGGCAUAGAACAAGCAGGGACACUCACCAAGAGUGAAGUUCAGAUGUCAAGUUGGGAAUCGAAAUCCGCGUCCUCGCUAAAUCCUAGAAAACCAAGUUUUAAAGCACUAUAAGUUUUCUGUUCAAAUUCUAGGUAUAUAAAUAUAAAAGGUUAUCUGGUAUAUUACUAGUUUAUUUCCUCGAAAUAAUUCGACAAUCCACUUAAGAUAAAACUUAGUAAAAGUAGUGAAUUGUUUCAUAUGGCUUUCUUUAUAACACUUUUCUUCUAUAGGACAAACUAGAGCCAAAUCAAUUUGUACCAGUUUUCUUGCCGAACAAGCUUUCUACGCUUUUAGCUAAAGUUAGUAAAGACUCGCAUUUUGUAACUUUUCCUAUAGACAGCUAGCCAAGGACAAAUCUUAAGAAAGAAAAGAAUUAAAACAAGACUUAGGGUUUUAAAAGCUAGAAAAAUUAUUUUCUAUAACUAUUAAGGCUAGUUUAAGCUAAAGGAAACUUGUCGGGUUGGCAAAAUAUAGGGCAAAAUACUAAAUACUGAAUUUUGUCGUUUAAUACUAGCGUAAAAAUAUUUUUGAUUAGCUUGAUCAAAAUUGCUCGAGUUCACAGGGUCGAAACGACUUUCACAAUUUCGAUUCCAUUUCGAAAUCACAUUAUGGCUCAAGUUUGUCGACAUGGUAAAAUCACAUUUCAAAUAGCAAAUCACUAGGGCUCCGUCAAUCAUUAGCCCUAGAUUUCAACAGAUUCAUUUCUGAUAGAAAAAUAAAACAAGUGACCAAAGCUUCGUCAAUCAUUAGCUCUUGGUUUUGGCAAGCUCAUAUCACAUCUCAACUUAAUCAAAAUAAACAUAAGGCCUCCAAGCAAUUCCAGCAGUUUAAUUUCAUCAAACUUUAGCACUUAUAUAAAAUCAUUCAAAUGGCCAAGGGUUUCAUCAAUCAUUAGCCCUUAGCAUCCAACAAUUAGUUCUUAUAGCAAUAAAGCUAACAUUUCAAGCGUUUAAAAUCACUAACAGGUAUAUGAACAUAAGGUAAGAUUGGUAACAAUAUUUUGUCCAAGAUUUCAACAAAAUCUCAUUACACGUAAUCAAAUGCAGAUUAAACAUUUCACAUUAGUUAUAUUCCAAAAUUAUCCGUUCCAAUACCGAUAAUUUCAUCGCAACAUUACAGCCAUAAUAAAAUCAAAUUGUCCCUCCAAAAUGCACAUGCAAGACCCUCUGAAUAUAGCUUGAAGUGAAAUCAAUCAACAUAAUAUAUUUUACAACUCGAAACAGCAUUUUUAGAACUAAAAUUCGCCAAAAGAAAUCUGGAAAAUUCCUUUACUACCUCUAUUCGCUUGAAAAUCUUCCAGGUCUACACUUCAAAAUUUUUGCUUAAAUCCUCCAAAAUAUCAAACGUGUCAUAGCUAAACAACUUACACAGCUUAAGAUACACAUUUUUCAUGCAUUUCAAAACCAUUAUACUCCAAGGAAAACUCCCGAAACCAAUUAAAAUUUCCAGCUCACCCUUCUCGGAUUUCACCACAUUUUCCAGCACCUCAUUAAUCUUAGAUCAAAAUUUUCAUCGACUAAAUCAGUGUUUUAAGUACUCAAAUUAGUCAUGCAAAAACUUAUCUAGCUAAUUAACAUUUCCAAUUCAAAAUUAACUUUAAACAACAGCUGCAAACCCCAAAAUCCAGCAAUUCUGUGCAGCUAGUUUCGGAUGAACAUGCAUGUAACAGAUUUCCUUUCAUUUUUAUUUUCUGUUUUAAACCAACCAAUCAACUGCAUGCAGAGUUUAGUUAUCUUAUUAAUAACUAGCUAAUCACAGUUAUAAGCUCAGAACAUCCAGAUUAAACCAAGUACAGCUGCAUUAUUCCUAAUUAGUUCUCGGCAAAAUCAGAAACUUUUCCAGCAUUUGCUCAAUCACAAUUUAAAUUUUCCCUCCGGAUAAAACCUUGUAUUUUGCACUCAACUCUCACAUGCACAGCUACUGAACUAAUUAGCUAUCAUUUCCAGUCCAAAAAUCAGUUCGGCAACAACAAUAUUCAUCCAUAAUUCCAGAAAUUGGUCCAGCUAGCCUCAGAUGAGGUUGCAUGCAUCGGAUUUCUGUUUCAUUAUCCCUUUUCUUGCUUAACCGAGCCAUCGAGCUGCAUGCAAGGCUUAAACACUUAGUUUUUAGUUGGUUAAUCACAAUUAAAAUCUCAUAUCAUCACCAUAGAGUAAAUUAGAAGUUGCAUUUCCUAAUCAAGCUCUCGGCCGAGCCAUGACUUCCAAAUCAGAUUUUUCUCAUGUUUCAAUUUCAUUAUCCGAACGCACAACUCAACAUGCAGGCUCUGAUAUAGCUUCAUCUACCAGAAAUUAGCUAUUCUAAGUCUCGAAUUUACCUCAGCUAGACGCUCGGCUCACGCAACACACAGGCUGUCAAUUCUUUCCUCUCUCGGCUCGCGCAAGAACUGAAGGUGUUGGUCCUAGUUUUUGGUCGCGGUUGGCAGUUGUGAUGGUGCGGCUGGAACUGAUGAAAUGAUUACAGCUGGUGGAGGUGAAGGUGUAGAAGGAACGCAUGCAAGGCCUCUCCCUUUCUUCCCUUAGGCUUGCGGACAGAAACAGAAAAGAUUGCAGCUCGCGGUUUUUUUUUUUUUUUUUUUUUCCUUUUUCUCGGAUGCAGAAGACAGCUCCCUCUCGCGGGCGUUAAUCAUGAGGUGAAGUGUUGUGGAGUGAUGAUGCUAAGCUGUGAUAGUGGAGAGAAAUGUUGUUGUGUUCUGAGGUGUGGUGGUGGAAUGGAGUCGCGGUUUUUGAAGAGAGGUGAAGUGUUGAAGUGGAGAAUGUUUUUCAUUCGGCCAAAUGGAGUGAUGGUGUCAUAAGGUUGUCCGAGAGAGGUUGAGUGGUUGCAUGAUAAAUUUGUGAGAUAGUGGAGGGUGUUUUAGUCUUUUCACAUCCUCAUCUAAUAUCCACGUACGUUCUAAAUUCUAGUCUAACUCCAAAGUUUUAUCCCGAAUCUAAAUUAAGCUCCUAAUAAUAUACUAAUUUUGCAAGGCUUUAGUUAUCAAAAUUUUAUGUCUUAAGUAUGUUUAGUAUACUUGUGUCAUGUUUAUCUAUAAUUUGUUGAUUGCAUCUUAAUACUAAGGUUUCUAUUAACCUUGAACAUUAUUAACGAUUAAAGUUUAGCUAACGGAAUUCGGAGAAAUUAGUUAAUAAUAAACGAAAUAAUUUACCUUCGAAAUAUUAAUUUAAUAUAAUAAAGCCAAGGAAUUUAAUAGUUUAGCACAAUUCUUUUAUUUUGCACAUAAAAAUUAUUUUUACGCACUUAUUUAAAAACAAUUAGAUUUAAUGUUAAAAUUUAUUAAGGAAUUACAAAUGCAAAAUAAAAUAUGCACUGAUAUUUAUAUAUACAUUUUGAUGAGAAUAUAAAGACCAAGGCCCAUUCAAGCACAUGGGGAAUUGGAAGAUUCAAGUGAAGACUAGUUGAUUGCACGAAUGCUUGAGUUUAGUAGGAUUAUUUGAUUUUCCUCGUUGAUUUUGGUUAUUUCUCGUUUUAAAAAGUCUAGGUAAUUAAGAUAGUUUAAUUGCGGCCCAUUUGUUAGUAAGUAAGGCCCAAAAUCUUUCUUAAGUAUGUAGGGUAGUUUGGUCAACCUUUGGAUUAGGGUUAAUGCUUGUAAAGGCUAUAAAUAGCCCCACUUCCUCUUUGUUUGAGGAAGUUUUUGACUAUUAAAUACAAUUAGUGAGUUUUCACUUUCUCUUUGGCAAGAGAGUUGCCUUUGAAUACUUGAGAAUCUUCUCAAGUUAUUCACCCGAACUUAUCAAUCGAGUAUCUCCUUGAUUGUGGCGUUCUACUACCUCCAAUUUGGUUCGUUAAUUCGAGUAGUUACGGGUUGAGAUAAUAUCAAAAUUGUUCGUGACUUCUAGGGAUUAGUUGGGUCAAAUUUCCACUGCCUAAGCCAUGGAGUUUUGGUUGUCUAGAUCGGGGUUUCACAUCAGUUGGUAGCAGAGCUAGUCGACAACCACCAGGUUAUAUCCUUUUUUUUUCAUUUAUUUCGAGUCAUAUAUGUUUAUCCCAAUCUGUUCGUUUGUUUAGAACAAAAAAAAAAAAAAAAGAGUCACUGUUCACCGGUACUGUUCAUCGUACUGUUCAUAGUUACUGUUCAUCCGAAUACAAAUCUGUCCAGCCUUGUUGUUUGUGUUAUCCAACUUGUUUACUUGGUUUUCAAAUCUGGAUUUUGGCAAAACUUGUUGGAAUUUUGUGAAUCUUGAAGAGAACUUACAAUAAUCUUGAGCUUCUUGCAUUCUUGAUCACAACCUUGAAAUUUCUGAAGUUCCUGACAACUUCCUUGAAAGUUCUUGAAAGAUCUUGGAGUUCUUGGUAGUUAUUAUUUGUGGACUUCCUUGUUUUGUGUCGUGGUUGAUAGUUGUAGUCAAGAAAAAAAAACAGAAAACAAAAACGAAAAGAAAAAGAAAGAAAAGAGGAAUCGGAUGGCAAAAAAAAAAAAAAAAGGAAAGGAAAGAAAGUGGCAACCGAAUUGUUUUGAAUAGGGAACCAAAUCUGAUUUGUGCAAUCUUUCCUGGAGUAGAAUUUGGAAGUUACCAAAAGUUGUUUCAAGAAGAUUACCAAAAGUUGUUUCAAGAAGAUUACCAAAAGUUGUUUCAAGAAGGUUACCAAAAGUUGUUCAAGAGGAAAAGGAUUUUCAAAGGGUUUCCAAAAACUAACUUGUUUCCAAAAUCAAUUAGGAAACUAAGUAAAGCACUUGGACACUCUCUCUCCUACCUUUUUAGGAAACUUUCCCAAACUCUCUCAUCCAUUUUUUUUGGAAACUUUCCUAAAUUCUCUCAUCUAUUUUUUAGGAAAUUUUUCUAAAUUCUCUCAUCCAUUUUUAGGAAACUUUCCUAAACUCUCUCAUCCGUUUUUUUUGGAAACUUUCCUAAAGUCUCUCAUCUAUUUUUAGGAAACUUUUCUAAAUUCUCUCAUUCAUUUUUAGGAAACUCUCCUAAAAUUUUCUCAUCCAUUUUUAGGACCUUUCCUAUAUUCUCUCAUCCACGUUAGGAAACUCUCCUAUAUUCUCUCAUCCACUUUAGGAAACUCUUCUAUAUUCUCUUCCUAGAUUUUAAGAACACUCUCUUACACUUUCUCCUAUAUUUUCUCCUAUAUUUUCUCCUAGUUUUUAGGAACACUUCCCUACACUUUCUCCUACAUCUCCGUGAUUACUCUUGAGGAAGAAGUUGGUGACAAUUAUUUGGGCUUGAGCAGCAUUUCUCAAACUACCUAACCCAACAGGUAAAGGUGUUUGGUAAGUCCAUUGGAGAGCUUUAGAGUGACAUCCAUAUACACGAGUAUGAGUGGAUACAUGUAAGGGAGCGUAAAAGGCAAUAUCUUUGGUUUCGUUGCUAACUUUUUGCAGGUUCCCUCAUACGUCAUGGCGAGUAUAAGACGCAUAAAAGAUAGCCCACAACAUUGUCUUCCUAAUCCUAAGGGAGUCAAAGAAGUGGCAUUACGUGGUGUAGAUGAGCAAUUGGACCUCGUCAAAUCUCAGUUGCUUGGUUGGUUUUAUACUCGUUGCGGUGGCAAAGAUAAAAUUUGUAGCUUGGCCAUUGAUGGUAGUUGUGAAGUCAAUCUUGCAAUUGCUAUCAUGGUUGAGAAAUUAAAUCUUCCAACCAUUGAUCAUCUUCAACCGUACAAGUUGACGAGCACUCAUGGGGAUGUUUGGGUUACUAAGCACACACUUGUACCUAUUCAAAUCGGCAAAUAUGUUGAUGAGGUGUUGUGUGAUGUAGUCCCAAUUCAAGUGACACAUGUGUUGUUGGACAAAGCAUGGAUGUCGAGGCGAGAAGUUAAAAUUGACGGACAUACUAAUAAGUAUUCCUUCUUAUUUAAUAGUCGUCGUCUUGCACUUGUAUCACUUACUUAUGACCAACUUUGUAUUGAUCUAGCAUGCAUGAAAAGUGAGCUUGAGCGUUAUAGAAUGGAGAAAAAGUUAGAUGAGGGAAUUGUGCCUGCAGUGGUAAAACUCGAGGAAAUUGAAAGUAAUGAGAUAAAAGGGUCAGCUGUUGAACUAGAAAAAGAGAUGGAAAAAUCUAAUGAGAUGGGUGGUAAAAAGGAAGAAAAAGAGAAAGUGGGCUGAUCUUGAGCAACCCGGUGAAGGCCUAUUAUUUUCUUAACAAACUUACCUUUGCUUUGUUUAGUGUUUCUUCUUUUAUACAGAUCAAGCAAAGGCAAGUUGAGCUGAUCUUGGUGUGUUCCAUUCCAAAAUCAAUUGUAGACGUUGCAAGCCUCCAUGGAGUUGGUACUCCAAGAGUUAAACCCCGUUGGUAUCCAUUCAUGGAACAAUGUCAACUCAAAUCAGUCCACACCAAAGGGGAGUUGAUUCGAGCUCAUCUUGAAGGGAACACUCCAUAUUUUAGGGAUGGUUGUGUACCAAGGGUUCGUUUAAAGAACAAGUACCUCAAUGACCAUUAUGCUUUUCGUCUUGCUCUUAGUCCACAUGAAGCUCCAACAUCACCAUAUCCGCCUGGUGCCUUGCAAGUGUGUUCGAGCCAGAGUUCGAUUUCACGGGAUACACUUCAUACCACUUUGAGGACCCUUACCUCAUGACCACAAACAAUAAAGUUGAGCAUACAUUGAAGAUGGUCUGUGAGAUUCAAGGUUCGACGAGGGUUAUUUUCCAACUUAGCACAUGGGCUUUGCAUUGGAUGCCAUCUGUAGCCAUCAUAACAAGAUUGAGUCGAAGGCAUGUAACUCUUCUUGUCACCAUUCGUGCUUCAAUUUGUGGGCAAAUUGCUUUUAAGAGGAGAGGAAUGAUGAGAAUAUAAAGACCAAGGCCCAUUCAAGCACAUGGGGAAUUGGAAGAUUCAAGUGAAGACUAGUUGAUUGCACGAAUGCUUGAGUUUAGUAGGAUUAUUUGAUUUUCCUCGUUGAUUUUGGUUAUUUCUCGUUUUAAAAAGUCUAGGUAAUUAAGAUAGUUUAAUUGCGGCCCAUUUGUUAGUAAGUAAGGCCCAAAAUCUUUCUUAAGUAUGUAGGGUUGUUUGGUCAACCUUUGGAUUAGGGUUAAUGCUUGUAAAGGCUAUAAAUAGCCCCACUUCCUCUUUGUUUGAGGAAGUUUUUGACUAUUAAAUACAAUUAGUGAGUUUUCACUUUCUCUUUGGCAAGAGAGUUGCCUUUGAAUACUUGAGAAUCUUCUCAAGUUAUUCACCCGAACUUAUCAAUCGAGUAUCUCCUUGAUUGUGGCGUUCUACUACCUCCAAUUUGGUUCGUUAAUUCGAGUAGUUACGGGUUGAGAUAAUAUCAAAAUUGUUCGUGACUUCUAGGGAUUAGUUGGGUCAAAUUUCCGCUGCCUAAGCCAUGGAGUUUUGGUUGUCUAGAUCGGGGUUUCACAUCACAUUUUCAGGGUUCUCACAAUGCCCAACCCUAGCAAGUGUAUUGGGAUACUAGACAGAACAUGUUUAAUCAAGACCAUUUCCUCCAAAUGAUAAAAGCGGUGGCUUACAAGAAAGUACCUUAUCCACAACCUUCUGGUACAGAUCUGAGUAAUAAAUCUCUUUAGCUCUGCAAAUAAACAACGGAGCUCCCAGAUACUGAACUGGGAAUUCUUUCUUUUGAAAUUUAGUAAUUUGUUCAAUACACCUUGACGAGCUACAGUCAUCUGAGGGUGAACUAAGUAUCCACUUUUCUGCACAUUAACCAAUUGGCUUGAAUCAUUCUGGUACCACUCCAGGAUCCUCAUGACUUUCUUCAAUAAAGCCAUAUCCCCAUUGGCAAAAAUUCUAACAUCGUUCGCAAACGCUAAAUGAGUAAUAGUGGGGCAGAGUCUAGGCACCUUAAAACCCAUAAAACUCGACUGGGUAGCAAGAGAAUUCAAAUCUCGGGAUAGUACCUCUGAGCCAAUAAUAAACAAUGCCGGCAAUAACGGGCCUCCUUGACGCAACCCCUUGGAGGAUUUGAAAAAGUCAUAGGGCAUGCCAUUUAUAAGCACAGAAAACCAAACGUUGGAAGGCACAUUCUUUUUUAACAACUUGAAUAGUGGCUCGCGUAGCGGUUAAUUGGGCAAUGAAUCUUCCAAUGAAAUUAAUCUUCCCUAAAAAACUUUUCACGUCCUUCUGCGUCUUCGGUACUGGCAUGUCUCGAAUUGCCUUGAUCUUUACCGGGUCUAUCUCUAUGCCUUUUUUGCUGACAAUAAAACCUAACAAUUUACUAGCUGGUGCUCCAAAGGCGCACUUUGCAGGAUUCAACUUCAAAUUGUACUUUCGCAACCUUUCAAACAACUUCCUUAGAUCCAUCAAAUGGUCCUCGGCUUUCUUGACUUGAUUAUAAUGUCAUCCACGUAGACCUCCAUCUCUUUGUGGAUCAUGUCAUGAAACAAAGUAGUCAUAGUUCUUUGAUAAGUAGCUCCGACAUUCUUUAAACCAAACGGCAUUACUCGAUAGCAAAAGGUGCCCCAAGGGNNNNNNNNNNNNNNNNNNNNNNNNNNNNNNNNNNNNNNNNNNNNNNNNNNNNNNNNNNNNNNNNNNNNNNNNNNNNNNNNNNNNNNNNNNNNNNNNNNNNNNNNNNNNNNNNNNNNNNNNNNNNNNNNNNNNNNNNNNNNNNNNNNNNNNNNNNNNNNNNNNNNNNNNNNNNNNNNNNNNNNNNNNNNNNNNNNNNNNNNNNNNNNNNNNNNNNNNNNNNNNNNNNNNNNNNNNNNNNNNNNNNNNNNNNNNNNNNNNNNNNNNNNNNNNNNNNNNNNNNNNNNNNNNNNNNNNNNNNNNNNNNNNNNNNNNNNNNNNNNNNNNNNNNNNNNNNNNNNNNNNNNNNNNNNNNNNNNNNNNNNNNNNNNNNNNNNNNNNNNNNNNNNNNNNNNNNNNNNNNNNNNNNNNNNNNNNNNNNNNNNNNNNNNNNNNNNNNNNNNNNNNNNNNNNNNNNNNNNNNNNNNNNNNNNNNNNNNNNNNNNNNNNNNNNNNNNNNNNNNNNNNNNNNNNNNNNNNNNNNNNNNNNNNNNNNNNNNNNNNNNNNNNNNNNNNNNNNNNNNNNNNNNNNNNNNNNNNNNNNNNNNNNNNNNNNNNNNNNNNNNNNNNNNNNNNNNNNNNNNNNNNNNNNNNNNNNNNNNNNNNNNNNNNNNNNNNNNNNNNNNNNNNNNNNNNNNNNNNNNNNNNNNNNNNNNNNNNNNNNNNNNNNNNNNNNNNNNNNNNNNNNNNNNNNNNNNNNNNNNNNNNNNNNNNNNNNNNNNNNNNNNNNNNNNNNNNNNNNNNNNNNNNNNNNNNNNNNNNNNNNNNNNNNNNNNNNNNNNNNNNNNNNNNNNNNNNNNNNNNNNNNNNNNNNNNNNNNNNNNNNNNNNNNNNNNNNNNNNNNNNNNNNNNNNNNNNNNNNNNNNNNNNNNNNNNNNNNNNNNNNNNNNNNNNNNNNNNNNNNNNNNNNNNNNNNNNNNNNNNNNNNNNNNNNNNNNNNNNNNNNNNNNNNNNNNNNNNNNNNUCGCCCGAGUAAAACAUUAUAGAUAUUAGGAAAGUGUAUAACUUGGCAGGCUAUCUGAAAUUGAGCGGGCCCCAUUUCGACCACCAAAUUUACUUCCCCUAUGGACUCCCUCUGGGCUCCAUCGAAUCCUCGUACUACGGUCUCUGAGGGUUUUAAUUUGACAUCUUGCAACCCUAACUUCACCAACGUGCUCCAAGGACAAAUAUUGAGGGCAGACCCAUUGUCGAUCAGUACUUUAGGCAACAUUUUUCCAUUGCACCUCACGGCUACAUAUAAAGCUUUAUUAUGACCAGUUCCUUCCGCAGGCAGCUCUUCAUCAGAAAAAGUGAUUUGUUUAGCAGUCAAUACAUUUCCGACUAUGUGGGAGAAAUUGUCAACCGAAAUAUCCUUGGGAAUCCGAGCCUUAGUCAAAACUUCAAGUAACGCAUCCCUGUGCAAGUCGGAGGAGAAAAGCAAGUCUAAGAUGGAAAUUUGGGCAAGCAUUUUGUUCAACUGUUCGACCACAUUGUACUCGCUUCUCUUAAGUCUCUUGAGAAAAUCCCAUGCCUCCUUUUCAGUCACUAUGGGUUUGGUAAUCGGCUCACGAUUGCUUACUUGGAUUGGGGUGCUAGCAGUGGAUGAACUUGCAAUCCUUCCUGACCUCGUAACAACAGACACUUCUUCAUUCAAAACUUGUUUACCCCCAAUUUGCAAAAUGGGCUCACUAUAGUUCCACGGCACUUGUCGUAGACUUAAAACUGGCACCUAUUCCGGGAAUUCAAUUACCACAGGUUCUAAGGCCGCACUUUCGGAUGGAGUUAGGUCUAAAAUGAAGGGCCUUUUGUCUUCCUCAUACGAUGCCUCCUCUAUCACAAAAGGUUGAUCCAUUAUCCCAAACACUUCUGUCUCAGUUGACAUGCUUCGGACAAGCUCAUCAAAUUCUUUAUCAUCCAUAAUAACUCCAACAGUACCAGCGUGCUCCGGCAAAGGGUUCUUGCUCACAUUCGGUCCUUGCUCUUCUCUUUUCCUAAUCACGAUUUUCCCCGCUUCUAACAUGUCUUGAAUCUUAUGUUUGAGGAGUCGACAAUUAGCAGUGGAGUGACCAGGUGCUCCUGAAUGAUAAGCACAAGUAGCCUGUGAAUUAUACCCAGCCGGCAUGCCAUAAGGGUAAGUUGGAGGGGGAAUCACACCUAUUUUUCCCGCAGCCUUUAAUUGCUCAUACAACUGAUCCAAAGGCCUGCCUAGAUUGGUGAACGUUCGGGUGCGAUUUUGAUUGUAGGUUUCAGUAGGUUGGGGAUAGCUGUAGGUGGGUCUGUUUGGUGGGGGAAAUCUUUGGUGGUAAGGAGGUCGAGGACGAGUUUGUUGAAAGUUAGGUUGAGAUAUUUGAAAAUGGGCCGUAGGCGGAUUGGCGUAAUUUGGGCGAGGUCGGGGGUAAGAGAUAUUGGUAUUGUAAACAGGGUGAGGACUUGGAUAAUAGGGGUAAGGUGAAUAUGUCGGUUUAUGUUGAAAUCUGGGUCUUGGUGUAGGGCUUUGUUCCCAGAUGUAGGCAGCUUCCCCCUCUUUCUUUUUAAAUUGUGGUUCUUUUCUACUACUUCCUUGUCCUUGCAAAGCAUCCAACUGCGAUUUGAGGGCAGAGACGUUAACGAUUUUCCCAGCUUUUACAAAGUCAUCGUACUCUUCAAGCUUAUUGACAAUGGUGGCGAACGAGCAUCCAGUCAUGCGAAAAAUUUCUUCAAAGUACGGCGGAUCAUGUGCUUUAAUGAAAGUGCGUAUGAUUUCGUCCUCAGUCAUUGGUGGCUCGACUUUUACAGCUAUUUUCUUCCACCUUUUGGCAUAAGUCUUGUGGUCCUCAGAGGAUUUUCUCUUCAUUCCUUCCAGCGUGGUGCGUGUCGGAGCCAGCUCGCAGUUAUACUCGUACUGUCUCACAAAAGCAUUAGACAAGUCAAGCCAAGUCUUUACUUCUUCGGGUUUCAGAUUGGAAUACCAGUCGAGUGCAUCUCCCUCCAGACUUUCCGGGAACAACCUUAGAGGCAGAUUCUCAUCGUCUACGGGCUUUCCCAACUUGUUAGCAAACAUUCGGAGGUGUGUUUUGGGAUUCCCCGUCCCAUCAUACUUGUUAAAUUUAGGGGUUUUGAACCCCUCAGGCAACUGCACAUUCAGAAAAAGGCAAAGCUCAUCGUAAUCCAGGACUCCUUACUUGUUCAACCCCUGACUUUUCCUCAUAAAUUCAUCAAAACGGUCUAGGCGCUUGAGCAGCUUCAUAUCAACGGGAGCAGAAGAUUCUCCCAUCUCUGGCUUGGUUUGAACAGUAUGGUCUGGCAGGAAAGGCUCAGCAGCAGUGUGAUAAAAGGUAUGUGGCUCAGGUGGUAUAUUUGAAGUGACAUGGGGUUGUGGACCUCGCAUGUGAGUAGGAAAAAAUGAAGGAUUAGGAAGGUAAGUGUAUGGUAAAUUUGUGGUGGGAUAGGUGAAAGUUUCUUCGGGUGGAAUAAGGAAUGAUUGGGCAACGGUGGCUUGAGUCGAAGGUAUGACAAAUGGUUCCUGCUCAGGUUGCCUGACGGGUACGGGCUCGGGUUGAACUCUGCUGCUGAUUUGCUCAUCAAUCAAUUUCCUUUGGGCUGCCAUCUCGGUAGCCAUCUCACCAAACUUGGUAAGCAUCUCGGUUAGCUGAACCCUUAAACUUGUAGUCUCAGGUUGAGCGGUAGUAGCAGACCUAUCCGAUGGUUCCGGUUGUGAACUCAUGUUUACACGACUCAUCUGGGCUCGACUACGGGAUCGCGUUAUGAUGGGGUUUCGACGGGAAGUUAUGUUUAAAUAUUACCUGAAAAUUUUAAAAGGAAUCGCCUUUAGAUUUAGCCCUUGCUUAGCCUUUCCAACAAAAGUACAAAGAAAAGGAAAAAGACAAGAGUUAGUAAAUAUCCAAAAAAUUCGGAUGCAUGUCCUAUUGGGGGGCCCUUUUUACGCCAAGAGUUGGCCUAGUAUGAUGCAACACCUUCAAAAUGGGACCCGUGACACAAACCUGUUUUUGACAACAAUCCUGUAUGAAUGCAAAGAAAGAUCGAUUUCAUUGAUAAACUUGCCAACAUGUUUACAUCAUGUCACAAAGAUAAUUCCGUACAAGAUUGCCAAAAUUUCUGAGCCUAUCUAAUUCAGAGUCCAUAGUUUCUCUAGCAUAUGGAAUUCUAACAUGUUCAGCUCGGUCAUACAAUUCUCCGCAUUUUCUUUUCAGCUCUUGACGCUUUUCUCGCUCAUUUUCAUACAAUUGCUUGUUUUGCUCUGCUAUCCCCUUGUAUGUUUCGACAGACUUACUUAACUGCAGAAUUUCCUUAUCCUUUGCUUCGAUAAUGGCUUUCAACUUUUUCACCUCCUCGGCAGGUUCAUCUUGUUUUGCUUGUACAGCGGAUCCCAUUACCCAGUCUUCGUAUUGUGGAGUCGUCAAACCCUUCUGCUUGAGCUCCAGGAUGUAUUUAAAACUCUCGUCAUCAGAUAGCGUCACCCAUGCCUCAAUAAUCCGAUCUUUCAUAGGAAAUUGGCUUGGGCACGUUUCUUCAUUAAAAAUGAUGAUAAACUCACUCAUAUCAAGUGCAGGCGGGACUUCUUGGGUACGUCCUAACUGUCUAAGAAACCUCUUUGGGGUGUAUGCGGUGAUUCCUUGGGUACCAAGCAAGAGAACAAAUUCGGAUGCUUGGGUGCGAAGAACAGGUUUAAUACAAUUGGUCCAAUCCAAUACCCAUCUAAUAUUUUGAUCCGUCACAUUCUUCAAGAAAUCCACAAACUCAGACGCAUUAAAUGGCAGACUAUCUCUAUUAACCCUCUUGUGAUGUGUGACUAUCCAGUUGUACGCAAACAUUGGUAGACUCUCAGGAAUAGAAGAUCAUCUCAUGAAGUGCUCCAUACCCCAUACAUGUUAAAUCCAAUUUGAACCACAAAAGAACUUUUUCCCUCUCUGACAGGUAGUGCAGGCUACGAAGAUAUCGGCCAAAAUAGUUGGUAUAAUAGAACACUGUUUAUCUUUCACUCCUAGGAAUAGGUCGUACAAGAUUUUGGUGAGCUUAAAGGCUAUCUUUUUAUCUUUCCUAGGGAAGAGAUAGGUUCCAGCCAUAACCAACCCAUACACCCAUACUCUCUUUCGUUCCCAAAUUUCCUUGGAAGUGAACGAGAAAUCUCCUAGGUGCCUCUCAAACCCAUCUCUUAACGCAAAUCGAUUAAAUAAGAACUUUGCCUCUAUAUUUCGGUCCGACCCUCGUAUUGCUGAUUCCUUUAACCCAGUGAAACGACAAAAUUCGGCCUUGUUAGACACUAAUGAAAAUAUCACGGCAGUUCCCUGAAUCGGCAAAUUGAGAAAUCCAGCGACCUCCUCAAUUGUUAUGGUCAUUUCCCUUUUUCCUAGUCUAAAAGCGGAACAAGUGGGGUCCCAUAGAUGCACCAAAGCUUCUACCAAAUAGCCGUCGGACUUAAUGUCCUUGAAAUCCCCGAUGUGUCCUAAUCGAGCGGCUACUUGGUUAAUCUCACUGGGUGAAAGCAACGUGGGCCAUCAUUGUACCUCCAACGGUACUACUAACAUCUGUUGGACUCGGCGAGGACUUUCCAUCUGGAAACAAAAGCCGGUGUCAAAUACCUUACCUACAGGUCCCACUUCUCUGGUUAAAACAUGAAUUAAAACGUGCAAAUCCCAAGAUGGGGUUAAAUACCCACGGGAAUAUAGGGUUGGCUUAUCCCUAAUAUGGGAUUCCCUAAUUGGCAUUCCCUCUAGGGUUUAUGCAUGAUGCCAUUUUAUCAAAGCGAGUACAUAUGCAGUACACAAAUGAAACAUGACCUAAAGGAACCCUCUUUCUGUAUGUCGGGGUGAGUCUAAAAAUGAAAUGUACUCAUGUUACGCCUGUGAAACAUUGAAUUGAAACGUGUCACAUCAAACGGGGUAGGCUCCUAGAGAGUGCCAUGCCAGGACUCUUAUUUCCUAGGGCUGAUGAAUGCAAUAGAGAUAAAACCAAAAAAGGUUAGUUCAAUAAAUACACAUAACACAUUGCAGCAAAACAAUACAAAGAGGUAAAGCAAUCAAAAGAAAAAAUGGGGGUUGGAUCCCUCCCCUCGUGACUAGUGUCCCUAAUAGGGUAAGGCAGACUCUACCCUAGGCAAACUAUCAUGGAUGCGUGUGGUAUUGGCUCACUAAUGCAUCUAGACUCGAUAGGUUUUAGGUCCCCGGGCCUUCAGACUUGGAAACCAAAAGUCAUCAACCCCAAGGUUCUUCGUCGAUGGCUCGAGCGAUUCCCCAGACAUUGCUACGCACAUGUCGUGUCACGGCUUCAUGUCUGAGUGAAUCUAUCAAAAAUCCUCAACCUUCGACUAAAAGCUAAAAGCUAUUAACCCAAAGGUUAAAGCGGAAGAUUGAGUGACCCCUUGGGUCAUGCUACGCACACGUCGUGUUGCGAUCACAUGCCCAAGUGGGUCGCCUAAUCCUAAUAGGGUGGAGUGGCAUGACAAGCCACUAAAAGAAAAAAUAAAUGAGGGUAAAAAUUAAAGCGUACGCACGUAUGCUAGUGCUCGUUUGGAGGGGAGGGAUCAAGAACCAACGCGAGGCUCUAGGGUAACAUCCCCCACCCAAAUGUAAUGCAAAGCACGGAAUCACAUACAUAAAUCAUCCAUCCAUCAAAACAAUCGUACGCCAAAUGGGUGAGCGAGUGAGUUGAUACGCGUGAAAUGCAAAAAUCCUAAAAAAGGAAAAAAUGCAAUCCUAAACAUCCAAAUGUAAUAUAUAAGAAGGUUAAAAGAAGAAAAGAAUCGACUAACUCAAAAGCUCGGACUCUCUAGUUCCCCAGUAGAGUUGCCAGCUGUCGCGCCCCAUUUUUAAAAAAAUAAAUGAGUUAAAAAAGUGGAUUUUGAUUUGAAAAAAAAGGAUUUUUUAUUUAAAAAGAAAAAGGGCCUAAAUGGGGGUUUAUAAUGCGACGAUUUGGGCCCAAAUUAUAGUUUAAAAAGGGCUUUUGAAAUAAAAAUCGGAGUCGCCACUUGGUGAUGAGUUAAGGUGUACCAAGUCACCUAAAAAUGAAUUUUUAAAGGAAAAAUAGAAAAACCCUUUUUAAACGACUCCAAGUCUACGCAAAUCAAAGAAAAAGGUUCGGGAGUCACAUUUGAAGAAAGGGAAGGCAAGGAUAAAAAUCCAAGGCACCCUUUCAACCCAACCAAUGCUAGUUGCGCGAUUUAGUCAAAGAUUUUCUUAUUUUUACCUAAAGAUUUAUCACGUUUGGAUGUACUAUAUGAAUGCAAACCCUAGACCUAAGAGGGCAUCGGGGGGUCGAAAUGUAUCUUCGAAGCUUAUUUGGUACCAGUCAUAUUAAUUUUGACGCCCAAAGAAGACUCUUUGAAGAAGCCACGAAUAAUGCAAAAGUAUGAGACUCUAAGAAAAGAAAAGGAAUAAAAUAAUUGUACAAAUAUACAUGUCUUAAAGGAGUGCAUCAUGUCAGGUACGGGGGACUAAUGUUCGUGACUCAAUUUUCCCUUUUAAUAGAGGGAAUACGAGCGUGCUAAGGCUAGAAAGCCAAACUCGUCCAUAUCCCAUACCCAAGGGGUUUCCCUAUCUAAUCAAGCAAAUGAUUCUAAUUCUAAUGCUUAUAUGAAAUGCAAGUCUAAUGUCAUGUUUCAUACAAAAGGGGCAAGUAAUAUACAUAUAAGGGAAAAUAUGGGGGAAGGGGUAUACAUAUAUAAGGAAAGUAGGGAUAAGGGCUAUACGUAUAAGGAGGGAUGUCAUGCAAAAUGAUAAAAGGCCCUAGAAAGUGAAAAAUAUGCAUGAGAUGGAGUGAUUUUAUCAUGCAAUCAUGAUCUAACGUGUGAAGGGGUCCUAAGGGUCUAGCGUUGGACUAACCCAUAUUUCUAUUUUCUCACUAGCGCUGGACUAGUGAGAAAUCGAACAAGGAAAACACAACUAGCGUUGGACUAGCGUGGUAUCGAGAAAUGAAUCACAACUAGCGUUGGACUAGUGUGAUAACGUCACACAUUAAUUAUAAGCUCACAGAAACAUAAUGAAGCGAGUAAACACAUAAUAUCACAUAAACACAUAACACAUAGUCAUGAUAUCUAGAUGCAAAGCCCUAAGAAAGCGGUAACACAUAGCACGUAAGCAUGCAAAUCACACAAGCGAAAGGAAAGCGAAUAAAACCCUAGCUAUUACAUUUGAUGGGGGCCUACUACAAUUUAACGGGGGAAAAUAAAAAAAAAUAAAAUAAACCAAACUAUUACAACUUGACAUUUAAAUGCCUUUCAAAUGAUCGAAAUUGAAGAUAACUAUACAAAAUAAAAACAAAUAAAGUGGAUAAAUAAAUAAAUAAAUAAAAUGAAAAACAUUCAAAAGGCAUGCAAUUAAGCACAUAAAUCAUGUAGACACAUAGGGUCAAAUAAAGUGAAAAUAAGGGAUAGAGUGUACCUCCCUUGCAAUGGUAAUCAAACGAAGGAAAAAUAGCUUCAAAACAAUAAAAGGGUCAAGGCACCAAUUAAAUAGUAAAGUAUAAACAAAAUCACCAAAUCCUUACCAAUUGCGACUUAAAUGAAAUCAAAUAAUGCAUAAUUUCCAAGAAAAGUAAAUUAUUGAUCAGAUUUCUAAAAUGGAAAAACUACCAAGGACCUAAUUGCAAAUAUUAACCAAUCACUCAAACCCAAAUAAAACAUUUUUAGGACUUCAAGGGUCUAGGAGCAAAGGAAAGGUCAAGUAAUGGUUGAAAAUGCAAUUACUUUAGGACCCAAUUGCAAAAAUUAGCACAUGAUUGGGCCUUUGUAGCAUAUGUGACGCCCCGAAAAAAAAAUGAGUUUGAGAACCCGAAAAUUUUCUAAUUUUCUAGGAUUUAUUUUAUUUAAUCGCCCGCCUUUUCUACAUUUUCUUUAUUAGAAAAAUUCCCCAGAUAAAGUUUAUGAGCAAAAAUAGUUUUAAAAUGAUUUUUCUAGUAUCGGUUAGUUUUUGAGUAAUUAAAAGCGUAUUUUGGACGUGGGACCCGCAAGUGCGGUAAAUGCAUUGUAUUUUUUACAACUUGUUGAAAUUUUGUAUUAAGUGAUAUUAUUUUACAAUGUGUUAAGAUAUUUGUAUUGGAGAGACAAAAAGAUAAGGUUUUAAUCCUAAAAGUUACAAGUGUCACUUUCUUACUCAAGGGUGGACUUUGACCAUUUUACUACCUUUACUAAUUGAUUAAAAACUUGACCCAAAAUUUAUCUUCUUCAUAAGCUCCAUGGCCGAACCUCUUGGAGACAAAAAGAGAGAAAAGCUUCCAAUUUCUUCCUUCUAUUUCUUGCCCAAUCUCACAAACCAACCAUUAAAACCGUGAUUUGCUCCAUAAAAACCUUUCUCUUGGUGGUAUUAAGGUGUGUGGUGAAGUGGUUUGAGAAGCAAAGGUGCUAAGUUGGGUCUUUCCUUGGGUUUGCAUGGUAAGUGACUAAGGAAGCUUUCCUUUGAUCUUGAUAAUGUUCAAUUAGUGAUUGGUGGUGGUUGAAUAAGUGAUUUUAUGGAUGAUUUCAUGAUUUUGGUUGAACUUAGUGAAGUUUUAUAUUUAAUUAGGAUUUUUCUGUUCUCAUAUGAUUGUUAUUAUGUGGUUAUGUAUGAUGAUUGGAAAUGAUGUGUAAUGAUGCUAGAAGGUGGAAAAAGUGGAAGAUUGCAAGUAAAUUCUGUUUUGGAAGAAAUCUGGAAAAUUAGGGUUCUUGGUUCUUCUUUCUGUCCGAAAUUUUAGGUCCUAUAUGGAGGCCGAAUUGGCCUUAUCUCAAAACAUGAAAGUUGUAGGGAAUGACAUUGUAGAGGUGCCUACAAAAUUUCAGGUCAUUUGGAGUAGUGUAGAGUGAGAUAUGUCGAUUUUACUGUUGCUGUUCUGGGUUGAUCAGAAUGUGCGAACUGCGAUUGAAAUCGUCUGUUUUGACCGGAAUUUCUUUGGUUUUGGAUGUUGGUGUCUUCUGAUGAAAUGUAGCUUGAUGUCUUAGCUACCUCAUGCCUUUGGAAUCAAUGCAUUUGGACCUGUAUAGACUGAGUUGGACUGAUUACAGCAUAGUGUGAUUUGUAAACCUGUAAUUACGGUUCUGGUUUGGUAUUCUGCAUUUUUGACCUAGUUGUGAUAGGAUUUGGACUGGGUGGCCUUCUACAUUGUUGUAUCCCUGUCUUUUAGCUUCGAGAUGGUGGGUCUUACACCCUCAUCCGAUAAGCGUAGCGCACUUUGUGCCAUUACCGCAAAGUGACGUCCAAAACUGUUUUUCUGGUUUUGAGCUUAACUUUCAUUUCCGGACUUUUCCCUAGCUUGACUUGUACUCGUACUACUUGGAGCUUGCUGAACUUGUUGUUGUGUGUGUACCUUUGGGACUGGCUGAGGAUAUAAUGAAGCCAUGAUGGCUGGAAAAGUUAGCAAAUUCAGGGGAAGUGCUGUCCGAACCUGGAAGAGAUUUGUUUGCAUUGAGUUUGUGAUCUAAGACUUGGAAUUGAGCAAGGCAAUGUUAUAUGCUGGAUGAUUUCUGAGCCGUGGAGGUGAGUGACCUCAAACUAUUUCUAAAAGUAUUUAUGAACCGUUUCUUGCAUUAUUUACUUUUGAACUGUUUCCAAAUUUAAUGUUGGAACUGUUUUCUUACAUAUCAUGCGUGCUUGCAUAUCAGUGUCUUGUUAUUAUUCUUUUUGCUUUCAAUGAUUGUUAAAACGAGUUUUCUAGGCGAGUGUGUACUUUAUCGCACUCGACCUAAAUAAAUAUGAAAUUUUCAAUGAUUAAUGAUUAAAUGCUACUUGCGCAUGAAUGUAAGCCUUCUGGGCUGAACUGGCCAUUGUCCCUUCUUACCGGUCGUCUCGAGCCAGAAGCGGACUCGGUCGGGCGAUUAGGGACUUGGGUGAACGUUUGGUAUACUCGAGUAUUACCUUGUAGGUUGGUGGAGCCUGGCCAAAAGCCAGGGACGGGGUGAAUGAAUGCACGAAUGAAACUAAAAAUGCAAUGAAAUGACAGGAGAACGAACGUAUCCUUUUCAUGAAUGUUACUAUCGCUUUCCAUUGUAAAUGUUUCUUGAAUUAUUGAUACUCCAUAUUUAAUGUUUUGUAAACGUUGUAAUUGUUUCUAGACUUAUCAUUUGAUUUACGACACUAUUGAAAUGAACGAUUGUGAAACUGAUUUGAUAACUGAUUUUACUGGUUACUCGCUGAGCUUCUAGCUCACCCCGAAAUGUUUUAUUCCCCUCCACAGGGCUCAAGGCGAAUGAAGGGCUUGUAGUGUUUAUUCAUGGAUUAUUUCAUGUAUGGAUUGAACUUGGAUUUCCUUUUGUGUAAUCAUUCAUAUUGGGAUUGUAUUGAACGUUUAAGAACGUUUAGAAUUGAUUGGAUGUGUAAUAGUCUAGUUUUGGACUUCCUACUGUAUACCAAUUGUGAUCAAGGAUCAGAGUGGCGCUGCGGAAGCGUGGACGCUUCGCUUUUGAUAUGUAAAUGUUGGAAUAUUUGAUUUAUAUUGGAGAUUUUAUCUUGUAUUUGUUUGAGGACUGUAGUGAUCGACUGAGUCCCGGCGAGAGCUGGGCAGACGGCCCGUUGACCCCUCUGGUUCGCCUUAGGGGGAGGUGCGGCCGUUACAAUUGGUAUCAGAGCUUAGGCUUCAGAUCUCUGUAGUGUAUCCUAGGCUUGAAGUUUAGGAUGCCGGACUGUGGGUUUGAUUUGACUCUUGAGAGAUUUUUGCGGGAUGUCUUGACUUGAUUGGUACAAGAUGGAAUGUCGAGGACGACAGUCUUUUAAGGAGGGGAGAUUGUGACGCCCCGAAAAAAAAAUGAGUUUGAGAACCCGAAAAUUUUCUAAUUUUCUAGGAUUUAUUUUAUUUAAUCGCCCGCCUUUUCUACAUUUUCUUUAUUAGAAAAAUUCCCCAGAUAAAGUUUAUGAGCAAAAAUAGUUUUAAAAUGAUUUUUCUAGUAUCGGUUAGUUUUUGAGUAAUUAAAAGCGUAUUUUGGACGUGGGACCCGCAAGUGCGGUAAAUGCAUUAUAUUUUUUACAACUUGUUGGAAUUUUGUAUUAAGUGAUAUUGUUUUACAAUGUGUUAAGAUAUUUGUAUUGGAGAGACAAAAAGAUAAGGUUUUAAUCCUAAAAGUUACAAGUGUCACUUUCUUACUCAAGGGUGGACUUUGACCAUUUUACUACCUUUACUAAUUGAUUAAAAACUUGACCCAAAAUUUAUCUUCUUCAUAAGCUCCAUGGCCGAACCUCUUGGAGACAAAAAGAGAGAAAAGCUUCCAAUUUCUUCCUUCUAUUUCUUGCCCAAUCUCACAAACCAACCAUUAAAACCGUGAUUUGCUCCAUAAAAACCUUUCUCUUGGUGGUAUUAAGGUGUGUGGUGAAGUGGUUUGAGAAGCAAAGGUGCUAAGUUGGGUCUUUCCUUGGGUUUGCAUGGUAAGUGACUAAGGAAGCUUUCCUUUGAUCUUGAUAAUGUUCAAUUAGUGAUUGGUGGUGGUUGAAUAAGUGAUUUUAUGGAUGAUUUCAUGAUUUUGGUUGAACUUAGUGAAGUUUUAUAUUUAAUUAGGAUUUUUCUGUUCUCAUAUGAUUGUUAUUAUGUGGUUAUGUAUGAUGAUUGGAAAUGAUGUGUAAUGAUGCUAGAAGGUGGAAAAAGUGGAAGAUUGCAAGUAAAUUCUGUUUUGGAAGAAAUCUGGAAAAUUAGGGUUCUUGGUUCUUCUUUCUGUCCGAAAUUUUAGGUCCUAGAUGGAGGCCGAAUUGGCCUUAUCUCAAAACAUGAAAGUUGUAGGGAAUGACAUUGUAGAGGUGCCUACAAAAUUUCAGGUCAUUUGGAGUAGUGUAGAGUGAGAUAUGUCGAUUUUACUGUUGCUGUUCUGGGUUGUUCAGAAUGUGCGAACUGCGAUUGAAAUCGUCUGUUUUGACCGGAAUUUCUUUGGUUUUGGAUGUUGGUGUCUUCUGAUGAAAUGUAGCUUGAUGUCUUAGCUACCUCAUGCCUUUGGAAUCAAUGCAUUUGGACCUGUAUAGACUGAGUUGGACUGAUUACAGCAUAGUGUGAUUUGUAAACCUGUAAUUACGGUUCUGGUUUGGUAUUCUGCAUUUUUGACCUAGUUGUGAUAGGAUUUGGACUGGGUGGCCUUCUACAUUGUUGUAUCCCUGUCUUUUAGCUUCGAGAUGGUGGGUCUUACACCCUCAUCCGAUAAGCGUAGCGCACUUUGUGCCAUUACCGCAAAGUGACGUCCAAAACUGUUUUUCUGGUUUUGAGCUUAACUUUCAUUUCCGGACUUUUCCCUAGCUUGACUUGUACUCGUACUACUUGGAGCUUGCUGAACUUGUUGUUGUGUGUGUACCUUUGGGACUGGCUGAGGAUAUAAUGAAGCCAUGAUGGCUGGAAAAGUUAGCAAAUUCAGGGGAAGUGCUGUCCGAACCUGGAAGAGAUUUGUUUGCAUUGAGUUUGUGAUCUAAGACUUGGAAUUGAGCAAGGCAAUGUUAUAUGCUGGAUGAUUUCUGAGCCGUGGAGGUGAGUGACCUCAAACUAUUUCUAAAAGUAUUUAUGAACCGUUUCUUGCAUUAUUUACUUUUGAACUGUUUCCAAAUUUAAUGUUGGAACUGUUUUCUUACAUAUCAUGCGUGCUUGCAUAUCAGUGUCUUGUUAUUAUUGAUUUUGCUUUCAAUGAUUGUUAAAACGAGUUUUCUAGGCGAGUGUGUACUUUAUCGCACUCGACCUAAAUAAAUAUGAAAUUUUCAAUGAUUAAUGAUUAAAUGCUACUUGCGCAUGAAUGUAAGCCUUCUGGGCUGAACUGGCCAUUGUCCCUUCUUACCGGUCGUCUCGAGCCAGAAGCGGACUCGGUCGGGCGAUUAGGGACUUGGGUGAACGUUUGGUAUACUCGAGUAUUACCUUGUAGGUUGGUGGAGUCUGGCCAAAAGCCAGGGACGGGGUGAAUGAAUGCACGAAUGAAACUAAAAAUGCAAUGAAAUGACAGGAGAACGAACGUAUCCUUUUCAUGAAUGUUACUAUCGCUUUCCAUUGUAAAUGUUUCUUGAAUUAUUGAUACUCAAUAUUUAAUGUUUUGUAAACGUUGUAAUUGUUUCUAGACUUAUCAUUUGAUUUACGACACUAUUGAAAUGAACGAUUGUGAAACUGAUUUGAUAACUGAUUUUACUGGUUACUCGCUGAGCUUCUAGCUCACCCCAAAAUGUUUUAUUCCCCUCCACAGGGCUCAAGGCGAAUGAAGGGCUUGUAGUGUUUAUUCAUGGAUUAUUUCAUGUAUGGAUUGAACUUGAAUUUCCUUUUGUGUAAUCAUUCAUAUUGGGAUUGUAUUGAACGUUUAAGAACGUUUAGAAUUGAUUGGAUGUGUAAUAGUCUAGUUUUGGACUUCCUACUGUAUACCAAUUGUGAUCAAGGAUCAGAGUGGCGCUGCGGAAGCGUGGACGCUUCGCUUUUGAUAUGUAAAUGUUGGAAUAUUUGAUUUAUAUUGGAGAUUUUAUCUUGUAUUUGUUUGAGGACUGUAGUGAUCGACUGAGUCCCGGCGAGAGCUGGGCAGACGGCCCGUUGACCCCUCUGGUUCGCCUUAGGGGGAGGUGGGGCCGUUACAAUUGGUAUCAAAGCUUAGGCUUCAGAUCUCUGUAGUGUAUCCUAGGCUUGAAGUUUAGGAUGCCGGACUGUGGGUUUGAUUUGACUCUUGAGAGAUUUUUACGGGAUGUCUUGACUUGAUUGGUACAAGAUGGAAUGUCGAGGACGACAGUCUUUUAAGGAAGGGAGAUUGUGACGCCCCGAAAAAAAAAUGAGUUUGAGAACCCGAAAAUUUUCUAAUUUUCUAGGAUUUAUUUUAUUUAAUCGCCCGCCUUUUCUACAUUUUCUUUAUUAGAAAAAUUCCCCAGAUAAAUUUUAUGAGCAAAAAUAGUUUUAAAAUGAUUUUUCUAGUAUCGGUUAGUUUUUGAGUAAUUAAAAGCGUAUUUUGGACGUGGGACCCGCAAGUGCGGUAAAUGCAUUAUAUUUUUUACAACUUGUUGGAAUUUUGUAUUAAGUGAUAUUGUUUUACAAUGUGUUAAGAUAUUUGUAUUGGAGAGACAAAAAGAUAAGGUUUUAAUCCUAAAAGUUACAAGUGUCACUUUCUUACUCAAGGGUGGACUUUGACCAUUUUACUACCUUUACUAAUUGAUUAAAAACUUGACCCAAAAUUUAUCUUCUUCAUAAGCUCCAUGGCCGAACCUCUUGGAGACAAAAAGAGAGAAAAGCUUCCAAUUUCUUCCUUCUAUUUCUUGCCCAAUCUCACAAACCAACCAUUAAAACCGUGAUUUGCUCCAUAAAAACCUUUCUCUUGGUGGUAUUAAGGUGUGUGGUGAAGUGGUUUGAGAAGCAAAGGUGCUAAGUUGGGUCUUUCCUUGGGUUUGCAUGGUAAGUGACUAAGGAAGCUUUCCUUUGAUCUUGAUAAUGUUCAAUUAGUGAUUGGUGGUGGUUGAAUAAGUGAUUUUAUGGAUGAUUUCAUGAUUUUGGUUGAACUUAGUGAAGUUUUAUAUUUAAUUAGGAUUUUUCUGUUCUCAUAUGAUUGUUAUUAUGUGGUUAUGUAUGAUGAUUGGAAAUGAUGUGUAAUGAUGCUAGAAGGUGGAAAAAGUGGAAGAUUGCAAGUAAAUUCUGUUUUGGAAGAAAUCUGGAAAAUUAGGGUUCUUGGUUCUUCUUUCUGUCCGAAAUUUUAGGUCCUAGAUGGAGGCCGAAUUGGCCUUAUCUCAAAACAUGAAAGUUGUAGGGAAUGACAUUGUAGAGGUGCCUACAAAAUUUCAGGUCAUUUGGAGUAGUGUAGAGUGAGAUAUGUCGAUUUUACUGUUGCUGUUCUGGGUUGUUCAGAAUGUGCGAACUGCGAUUGAAAUCGUCUGUUUUGACCGGAAUUUCUUUGGUUUUGGAUGUUGGUGUCUUCUGAUGAAAUGUAGCUUGAUGUCUUAGCUACCUCAUGCCUUUGGAAUCAAUGCAUUUGGACCUGUAUAGACUGAGUUGGACUGAUUACAGCAUAGUGUGAUUUGUAAACCUGUAAUUACGGUUCUGGUUUGGUAUUCUGCAUUUUUGACCUAGUUGUGAUAGGAUUUGGACUGGGUGGCCUUCUACAUUGUUGUAUCCCUGUCUUUCAGCUUCGAGAUGGUGGGUCUUACACCCUCAUCCGAUAAGCGUAGCGCACUUUGUGCCAUUACCGCAAAGUGACGUCCAAAACUGUUUUUCUGGUUUUGAGCUUAACUUUCAUUUCCGGACUUUUCCCUAGCUUGACUUGUACUCGUACUACUUGGAGCUUGCUGAACUUGUUGUUGUGUGUGUACCUUUGGGACUGGCUGAGGAUAUAAUGAAGCCAUGAUGGCUGGAAAAGUUAGCAAAUUCAGGGGAAGUGCUGUCCGAACCUGGAAGAGAUUUGUUUGCAUUGAGUUUGUGAUCUAAGACUUGGAAUUGAGCAAGGCAAUGUUAUAUGCUGGAUGAUUUCUGAGCCGUGGAGGUGAGUGACCUCAAACUAUUUCUAAAAGUAUUUAUGAACCGUUUCUUGCAUUAUUUACUUUUGAACUGUUUCCAAAUUUAAUGUUGGAACUGUUUUCUUACAUAUCAUGCGUGCUUGCAUAUCAGUGUCUUGUUAUUAUUGAUUUUGCUUUCAAUGAUUGUUAAAACGAGUUUUCUAGGCGAGUGUGUACUUUAUCGCACUCGACCUAAAUAAAUAUGAAAUUUUCAAUGAUUAAUGAUUAAAUGCUACUUGCGCAUGAAUGUAAGCCUUUUGGGCUGAACUGGCCAUUGCCCCUUGUUACCGGUCGUCUCGAGCCAGAAGCGGACUCGGUCGGGCGAUUAGGGACUUGGGUGAACGUUUGGUAUAAUCGAGUAUUACCUUGUAGGUUGGUGGAGCCUGGCCAAAAGCCAGGGACGGGGUGAAUGAAUGCACGAAUGAAACUAAAAAUGCAAUGAAAUGACAGGAGAACGAACGUAUCCUUUUCAUGAAUGUUACUAUCGCUUUCCAUUGUAAAUGUUUCUUGAAUUAUUGAUACUCCAUAUUUAAUGUUUUGUAAACGUUGUAAUUGUUUCUAGACUUAUCAUUUGAUUUACGACACUAUUGAAAUGAACGAUUGUGAAACUGAUUUGAUAACUGAUUUUACUGGUUACUCGCUGAGCUUCUAGCUCACCCCAAAAUGUUUUAUUCCCCUCCACAGGGCUCAAGGCGAAUGAAGGGCUUGUAGUGUUUAUUCAUGGAUUAUUUCAUGUAUGGAUUGAACUUGAAUUUCCUUUUGUGUAAUCAUUCAUAUUGGGAUUGUAUUGAACGUUUAAGAACGUUUAGAAUUGAUUGGAUGUGUAAUAGUCUAGUUUUGGACUUCCUACUGUAUACCAAUUGUGAUCAAGGAUCAGAGUGGCGCUGCGGAAGCGUGGACGCUUCGCUUUUGAUAUGUAAAUGUUGGAAUAUUUGAUUUAUAUUGGAGAUUUUAUCUUGUAUUUGUUUGAGGACUGUAGUGAUCGACUGAGUCCCGGCGAGAGCUGGGCAGACGGCCCGUUGACCCCUCUGGUUCGCCUUAGGGGGAGGUGGGGCCGUUACAAUUGGUAUCAGAGCUUAGGCUUCAGAUCUCUGUAGUGUAUCCUAGGCUUGAAGUUUAGGAUGCCGGACUGUGGGUUUGAUUUGACUCUUGAGAGAUUUUUACGGGAUGUCUUGACUUGAUUGGUACAAGAUGGAAUGUCGAGGACGACAGUCUUUUAAGGAAGGGAGAUUGUGACGCCCCGAAAAAAAAAUGAGUUUGAGAACCCGAAAAUUUUCUAAUUUUCUAGGAUUUAUUUUAUUUAAUCGCCCGCCUUUUCUACAUUUUCUUUAUUAGAAAAAUUCCCCAGAUAAAUUUUAUGAGCAAAAAUAGUUUUAAAAUGAUUUUUCUAGUAUCGGUUAGUUUUUGAGUAAUUAAAAGCGUAUUUUGGACGUGGGACCCGCAAGUGCGGUAAAUGCAUUAUAUUUUUUACAACUUGUUGGAAUUUUGUAUUAAGUGAUAUUGUUUUACAAUGUGUUAAGAUAUUUGUAUUGGAGAGACAAAAAGAUAAGGUUUUAAUCCUAAAAGUUACAAGUGUCACUUUCUUACUCAAGGGUGGACUUUGACCAUUUUACUACCUUUACUAAUUGAUUAAAAACUUGACCCAAAAUUUAUCUUCUUCAUAAGCUCCAUGGCCGAACCUCUUGGAGACAAAAAGAGAGAAAAGCUUCCAAUUUCUUCCUUCUAUUUCUUGCCCAAUCUCACAAACCAACCAUUAAAAUCGUGAUUUGCUCCAUAAAAACCUUUCUCUUGGUGGUAUUAAGGUGUGUGGUGAAGUGGUUUGAGAAGCAAAGGUGCUAAGUUGGGUCUUUCCUUGGGUUUGCAUGGUAAGUGACUAAGGAAGCUUUCCUUUGAUCUUGAUAAUGUUCAAUUAGUGAUUGGUGGUGGUUGAAUAAGUGAUUUUAUGGAUGAUUUCAUGAUUUUGGUUGAACUUAGUGAAGUUUUAUAUUUAAUUAGGAUUUUUCUGUUCUCAUAUGAUUGUUAUUAUGUGGUUAUGUGUGAUGAUUGGAAAUGAUGUGUAAUGAUGCUAGAAGGUGGAAAAAGUGGAAGAUUGCAAGUAAAUUCUGUUUUGGAAGAAAUCUGGAAAAUUAUGGUUCUUGGUUCUUCAUUCUGUCCGAAAUUUUAGGUCCUAGAUGGAGGCCGAAUUGGCCUUAUCUCAAAACAUGAAAGUUGUAGGGAAUGACAUUGUAGAGGUGCCUACAAAAUUUCAAGUCAUUUGGAGUAGUGUAGAGUGAGAUAUGUCGAUUUUACUGUUGCUGUUCUGGGUUGUUCAGAAUGUGCGAACUGCGAUUGAAAUCGUCUGUUUUGACAGGAAUUUCUUUGGUUUUGGAUGUUGGUGUCUUUUGAUGAAAUGUAGCUUGAUGUCUUAGAUACCUCAUGCCUUUGGAAUCAAUGCAUUUGGACCUGUAUAGACUGAGUUGGACUGAUUACAGCAUAGUGUGAUUUGUAAACCUGUAAUUAACGUCUCCUCGGUCUUGGUAUUCCAUUUUUGACCUACUGUUGUGAUAAUGGAAUGGAUUUUGGACUGGUGGCCUUCUACCUUGGUUGUAUCCCUGUCUUUAGCCUCGAGAUGGUGGGUCUUAUCACCCUCAAUUUCCGAUACACGUAGCGCCACUUGGUGCAUUACCGAAAGUGAAGUCUCAAGUAACUGUUUUUUCUGGUUUUAGCUAACUUUCAUUUUCCGGACUUUUCCUCUAGCUUGAUCUUGUAUCUCGUACUACUUGGAGGCGUUGCUGAACUUGUGUUGUGGUUGUACCUUGAGGACUGGCUGAUGGAUAUUAAGAAGCCAUGAUGGCUGGCCAAAAGCUUAGCAAUUCAAGGGGAAGUUGCUGUCCUGAAACCGGAAGAGAUUUUGUUUGCAUUGAGUUUGUGAUCUAAACUGGAAUUGAGCAAGGCACAUGUAAUAUGCUGGAUAUUUCUUGAGCCCGUGAGUGAGUGACCUUCAAACUAUUUCUAAAAUUUUAUGAACGUUUCUUGCAUUACUUUACUUUUGAACUGUUUUCCAAAUUUAAUGUGGAAGCUUUUCUUACAUAUAUGGCGGCUUGCAUAUCAGUGUCUGUUAUUUUGAUUGUUGCUUCAUGAUUUGUUAAACUACGAGUCUUCUAGCGAGGUGUACUUUAGUCGCACUCCGACUAGAAUAAAUAUGAAAUUUCAAAAGUGCAUUAAUGAUUAAAUGCUACUUGCGCAGUGAUGUAUGGCCUUUGGCUGAACUGGCCAUUGCCAUCCUUGUUACCUGUCGUCUCGAGCCAGAAGCGAACUGCGGUCGGCGAUUACGGACUGGUGAACGUUUGGUAUACUCGAGUUAUUACUUUGUCAGGUUGUGGAGCCGGCUCAAAAGCCAGGGACGGGGUGAAUGAAUGCAGCGAAUGAAAACUAAAAUCAAUGAAAUGACAGAGACGAACGUAUGCCGUUCAGAAGUUACUAUCGCUUGUCCGAUGUAAAUUGUUUCCUUGAAAUUUAUUUGAUACUCCAUAUUUAAUGUUUGUAAACGUUGUAAUUGUUUCUAGAUCUAUAUUGAUUACUGACACUAUUUGAAAUGAACGAUUGUGAAACCUGAAUGUGAAACUAUUUUCACUCGUUACUCGCGUGAGUCUUCUAGCUCACCCCAAAAUGUUUUAUUCCCCUCCACAGGGCUCAAGGCGAAUGAAGGGCUUGUAGUGUUUAUUCAUGGAUUAUUUCAUGUAUGGAUUGAACUUGGAUUUCCUUUUGUGUAAUCAUUCAUAUUGGGAUUGUAUUGAACGUUUAAGAACGUUUAGAAUUGAUUGGAUGUGUAAUAGUCUAGUUUUGGACUUCCUACUGUAUACCAAUUGUGAUCAAGGAUCAGAGUGGCGCUGCGGAAGCGUGGACGCUUCGCUUUUGAUAUGUAAAUGUUGGAAUAUUUGAUUUAUAUUGGAGAUUUUAUCUUGUAUUUGUUUGAGGACUGUAGUGAUCGACUGAGUCCCGGCGAGAGCUGGGCAGACGGCCCGUUGACCCCUCUGGUUCGCCUUAGGGGGAGGUGCGGCCGUUACAAUUGGUAUCAGAGCUUAGGCUUCAGAUCUCUGUAGUGUAUCCUAGGCUUGAAGUUUAGGAUGCCGACUGUGGGUUUGAUUUGACUCUUGAGAGAUUUUUGCGGGAUGUCUUGACUUGAUUGGUACAAGAUGGAAUGUCGAGGACGACAGUCUUUUAAGGAGGGGAGAUUGUGACGCCCCGAAAAAAAAAUGAGUUUGAGAACCCGAAAAUUUUCUAAUUUUCUAGGAUUUAUUUUAUUUAAUCGCCCGCCUUUUCUACAUUUUCUUUAUUAGAAAAAUUCCCCAGAUAAAGUUUAUGAGCAAAAAUAGUUUUAAAAUGAUUUUUCUAGUAUCGGUUAGUUUUUGAGUAAUUAAAAGCGUAUUUUGGACGUGGGACCCGCAAGUGCGGUAAAUGCAUUAUAUUUUUUACAACUUGUUGGAAUUUUGUAUUAAGUGAUAUUGUUUUACAAUGUGUUAAGAUAUUUGUAUUGGAGAGACAAAAAGAUAAGGUUUUAAUCCUAAAAGUUACAAGUGUCACUUUCUUACUCAAGGGUGGACUUUGACCAUUUUACUACCUUUACUAAUUGAUUAAAAACUUGACCCAAAAUUUAUCUUCUUCAUAAGCUCCAUGGCCGAACCUCUUGGAGACAAAAAGAGAGAAAAGCUUCCAAUUUCUUCCUUCUAUUUCUUGCCCAAUCUCACAAACCAACCAUUAAAAUCGUGAUUUGCUCCAUAAAAACCUUUCUCUUGGUGGUAUUAAGGUGUGUGGUGAAGUGGUUUGAGAAGCAAAGGUGCUAAGUUGGGUCUUUCCUUGGGUUUGCAUGGUAAGUGACUAAGGAAGCUUUCCUUUGAUCUUGAUAAUGUUCAAUUAGUGAUUGGUGGUGGUUGAAUAAGUGAUUUUAUGGAUGAUUUCAUGAUUUUGGUUGAACUUAGUGAAGUUUUAUAUUUAAUUAGGAUUUUUCUGUUCUCAUAUGAUUGUUAUUAUGUGGUUAUGUGUGAUGAUUGGAAAUGAUGUGUAAUGAUGCUAGAAGGUGGAAAAAGUGGAAGAUUGCAAGUAAAUUCUGUUUUGGAAGAAAUCUGGAAAAUUAUGGUUCUUGGUUCUUCAUUCUGUCCGAAAUUUUAGGUCCUAGAUGGAGGCCGAAUUGGCCUUAUCUCAAAACAUGAAAGUUGUAGGGAAUGACAUUGUAGAGGUGCCUACAAAAUUUCAAGUCAUUUGGAGUAGUGUAGAGUGAGAUAUGUCGAUUUUACUGUUGCUGUUCUGGGUUGUUCAGAAUGUGCGAACUGCGAUUGAAAUCGUCUGUUUUGACAGGAAUUUCUUUGGUUUUGGAUGUUGGUGUCUUUUGAUGAAAUGUAGCUUGAUGUCUUAGAUACCUCAUGCCUUUGGAAUCAAUGCAUUUGGACCUGUAUAGACUGAGUUGGACUGAUUACAGCAUAGUGUGAUUUGUAAACCUGUAAUUACGGUUCUGGUUUGGUAUUCUGCAUUUUUGACCUAGUUGUGAUAGGAUUUGGACUGGGUGGCCUUCUACAUUUUGUAACAGUCCCACUUUCCCCUAAGGCGAACCAAAGGGGUUAGCGGACUGCCUGCCCAGCUCUCGCUAGGACUACGGAUCAGUUCACGUUGAUCUAAUACGUUCCGGAACAUACCCACGCGCGUAAACAAGUCAAAAUCACAAAAUAAAAAAAACGAAAAUCGAAGCCGAUUAUGAACAGUACCGGCCAUGUCCGAAUCCGGAUACUAGGCCGAGAGUAGCCAAAUUUUUCUUUUGCCGUUUGAAAUACAAGUUGAUCAGAAAUCCAACCAAAUGUCAACCAAACAUUGAAAUGUAACAUUUACAAGCCAAAAGCCAAAGCGGCAUAUCAAAACGAUUCAUCAUGUAUAUACAUGUUCGGUUUGCCAAUCAAAAGAAAUUGAACCCAAUACACAUUAGGGUUUCAUUCAAAGAGCUAUUCAAAAGACAUUUACAGGAGCUCAACUUGACAACCAACUAACACAACCUUUUCCAAAAGUGGUCAUUUCCUGUAAGGAAAACAAAUAGAACGGAAUGAGCUUAAGCCAGUGAGUUACUACCACAUAAGCAACAAAGAGCAUAUAGCAUAACCUUUCAUGUCAAGUACACAAUUAAAGAAUAAAACAAGUCGGUAAAAGGAUACGGUCGGCUCUCAAGAGCCCAUUUCCACGCUUACAUUCUUGAUCCAAUCUCAUUGACUCUCCGUCAACGUUUAUGAGUACCAACCGUAGAACCCACUUCACCCCCAUCCCUUCCACCAAACAUACCCCAACCGGGCCCGCACUCCAAUCAGUAGCUUUUGGUAAUACUCGAGUUUACCGGAAUCAAGAGUCUCAUUACUACAAGAUUCCCCAGUACAGUCCCCGUGGCAUGUCAAUUUUCACGACCAAGCCCUCGCCGGCUCGAUUCAAUUGACUACCAACGGGGUUGAGCUCAGUAGUACAGUAAGGCCGUUGGAUACUCGUCCAAACGACACCAAAUCAGUUUUUCAUGAAGUGAAUUCAAUAUCUCAUAAAGCAAGUGCAAUAUAUCAGUGAAGCGGUAAACAGUCAUUAACGGUAUCUCAAGGGGUGAGGGCGGUCAAGUACACCCUCACCUCAAUCAAUUCCAAUAGCCAAAUAAGCCUUCAAGGCAUCAAAAUCACAUAUAGCAAAGCCACAUUGUAACAUGCAAGUGAGUAGUAUACUCACUUAUCACUUAAGUGUUGUUUCAUGCACUUCCGUCAAGAGAAUGUCGUGAACCACCGUCACGUCCUAAAACACGUAAACAAAUAUCAUGAGACUCGAUAACGAGUCAUAAAGCCAUGCCAAUCACAACCCCAAUAGGGUUUCAUAUGCAUAUAUAGGCAUUAUAGCAAACCAGAAAAUCAGGAAAUGUAACCAUCUUGGCCAUAACAAGAAAAACAGUUUUGCCCUCAUUAUGCGGUAAUGGUACAAAAUGCGCUACGCUUAUCGGAUUAGGGUGUAAGACCUACCAUCUCGAAGCUAAAGGACAGGGCUACAACAAUGUAGAAGGCCACUCAGUCCAAAUCCUAGCACAACUAGGUCAAAUAUGCAGAAUACCAAACCAGAACUGUAAUUGCAGGUUUAUAAAUCACACUAUGCUGUAAUCAGUACAACUCAGUCUAUACAGGUCCAAAUGCAGAAAUUACAAAGGCAUAUGAUAGCUAGGCCAUCAAGCUACAUUUCAUCAGAAGACACCAACAUCCAAAUCCAAAGCAAUACCAGUCAAAACAACCCAUUUCAGAUGCAGUUCGCACAUUCUGAUCAACCCAGAACAGCAACAGUAAAAUCGACAUUUUUCACUCUACACUACUCCAAAUGACCUGAAAUUUUACAGGAACCUCAAGCACAUCAAUACCUACAACUUUCAUGUUUUAAGCAAAGGCCAAUUCGGCCUCUAACCAUAUGAUACAAAACCGGACAGAAAGGGGGUUAUGAAACCCUAACUUUCUCAAAUUCCAUCCAAACCCAAAAUUGGUUGCAAUUACCAAUCAUUUACACCUACUAGAGUCAUUACCCCUCAUUACCAACCAUCAUAAAUAACCACAACAUCAUGAUCACAUUAAACCAGAAAAUUCCUCAAUAAAAUAAAAACUUAACCAAUUCAUCUCAAACCAAGAAAUAAACCACAAAUUUCAGCACUUUAGCCACCACUAGGCACAAAUUAAGCAUCAUUAGGUGUAGGAGGAAUUUCAAUCACCACUUACCUAGUAAACAAGAGAAAAGGAGUUGUAGAACACCUUAGCUUCCUUGAACACUUCCACAAAAUCACUUACUAGCACCAAAUGGAGGGAUUUUAUGGAGUAGAAACAAUUGUAAGCAAUUGGUUUGGAUGAUUUGAGCUAGUUGGAAGCUUAAAAUUGGUGAAGUUUUCUUUCUUCUUGAGCUUAAGGUGGCCGGCCAACAUGGAGAAAGAAAGAGUGAAUUUUUGGUCAAUUUUUGAGAUAUUUAAUCCAAGGGUAAGAAAGGUCAAAAAGGUGAAUAGUUGUCUUAGGCUUCAACCAAUGGAAAUGUGACACUUGUCACUCCAUUAAAUGCAUUUCUAUCCUUCUUUUACACUCUCACAUCAAUCACUUCACCUCCUCUACUAAUCUCUUAACACCCGAUAAAUUUCAUUCAGUAUCCGGAACUUAACCUUAUUGGCCGACUUUUUCCGAACUUUUCGCACUAGUGGGUCCCACAUCCAUUAUAUAUCCGUAAUUUUCCAAAAACUACUCAAUGCUAGAAAAAAUCAUCUAAACUAUAAUUACUCGAUAAAUCCACCGAAGAAAGUUUCCUAAACCAAUGCAGAAAACAAUGGCAUGAGGGAAAAAACCCUAGAAACAUUAGGAAAAUACGGGUUACUCAUCAACUGCGUCUCCCCUUGAAGAAAUUUCGCCCUCGAAACUUUUCUUAACGGAAUCUAUCAUGAUCUAAGGUACCCCCACGGAUCGCACCUUCUCUGGUAGAAAUCGGGGACCUGUGUGGCUCCAGUGAAUACACUCGAGCCGCCUACCUAGUUGGUCCCUUCCACCCUUGGUCGAAUUCGGAAUGAGUCCUCGCCAGCUCUACCUUUACACUCGAGUACGGGCCAUUUAGGUGGCACAAAUUCUAUAGAUCCUCACCUAACGUGUGCGUAUACUCCAACUAGAAACAAAAUAAAAACACAAAACAAAUACACGAAAAGCAUGCAAAAGCGUAGGUACCAAAAGAUACGACUCAAAUAUAUACAUUUAUUUACAAAACCACACCAAAAGAUAUACAAAGUACCCGACCUCCAGUCGGUACAAAACCCAUUAUGCAUACGAGCACUCCGGCUCCAAAAAGCUAGUCAGUCCACCAAAUAACCAAAGAAAUUAGCCAUGCCAGUCCUAGCAAAAGUAAUCUACCAGCUACUCAUAAUACAAAAGCAACCCUAAUCACCUCCCCUAGGGCCCCGGUUCCCAACGGAACCUAAAGUAUCUAUCUCGCCUAUCUGCUCUGGACCAGCAGCUCGUGGUGGUGCCUCCGCGGCCAUGUCUAGUAAAACCCCACAGUCAAACGUAAUACUCCGGGCCCUCUCCCUAAGCUGCAUCCUCAUAGCGAAGAGGUGCUGGUGUGUGUGUCGAAGAUCCCGCUCCAGGUCCCUAACGCGCAACGCCUGCCAACGGCUAAACUCUCUAGCCUCCUCCAGCUGCGCCCUCAAAGUCUCAACUGUCCUGCCUAGGUGAUAACGCUCGUCAUCCAUCGCUAAAACAACCUCAUCAUGAUAGCCUUAGGUAUACCAGCACUCACAGGGUCGGCGCGACACCUGUCCAAAAGGGGAAUACAAACUAUAAGGCUCCCCAAGCCUUCUCCGAUAUCGGAUCGCCCGCUUACGCAGCACCCGGUCCUCUGGGCCCCUCGCACUCGGAGGUCUCGGUCCCGGUCCCAUGCCGCUAGAACUGCCCGGAUCCAUACCUACAAACAUUAAUUCGUUAGUUAACUGACAUUUCAACUUAAAAUAUAUCAUUCAUCUUAAAGAGAAUAAUGUAUUCCUAAGGCCUAUCACGUAUGUCCCACAAUUGCCCAAGUCCUCUAACCUAGGCGCUCUUAUUUCGUUCGUAUCCGGGCCCAAGAAUCCCAUCCAAGAUAAUUCACAACUCGAGCCGGCCGGUCCCAAGCGUAAAUCAUCCUUAUUAAAGAUUCCUACCCGACAUACAUACUUAACUUCCUCAAGUCCCAUGAUAAUGAUUCAUACACUUAUCACAUGCCCGGUUCAUAACUUAUGCUCAAACGAGCACUUAGACAUAUUCAUGAAAUUAGGACCACAACACCACUUGGCCCAGUCUCCCUCCGCGCAGAGACCACGCGAAGUGGCUCUGAUACCAACUGUAACAGCCCCACUUUCACCUAAGGCGAACCAAAGGGGUUAGCGGGCUGCCUGCCCAGCUCUCGCCAGGACUACGGAUCAGUUCACGUCGAUCUAAUACGUUCCGGAACAUACCCACGCGCGUAAACAAGUCAAAAUCACAAAAUAAAAAAAAAAUGAAAAUCGAAGCCGAUGAUGAACAGUACCGGCCAUGUCCGAAUCCGGAUACUAGGCCGGGAGUAGCCAAAUUUUUCUUUUGCCGUUUGAAAUACAAGUUAAUCAGAAAUCCAACCAAAUGUCAACCAACCAUUAAUACAUUGCAAUUCAACAUUUACAACCAAUUUGGCAUGCCAAAAGCUAUUCAUCAUGGAUACACAUGUUCGGUUUGCCAAUCAAAAGAUGAACCCAAUACAUAUUAGGGUUUCAUGCAAAGAGCUAUUCAACAUAGACAUAUACAUGGCUCAAUUUGGCAACCAAAAAGUAUGAUCUUAACAAAAAUGAUCAUUUUCCUGUAAGGAAAACAAAUGGAACAAAGUGAGCUAAAGCCCAGUGAGCAACUAUCACAUAAGCAACAAAGAUCACUUAAGCAUAACCGUUCAUUUCAAGUAUCCAAAUAGGAAGCAAAACAAAUCGGUAAAAGGAUACGGACGGCUCUCAAGAGCCCAUUUCCACGCUUACAUUCUUGAUCCAAACUCAUUGACCCUCCGUCAAUGUUUAAGAAUACCAACCGUAGAACCCACUUCACUCCCAUCCCUUCCACCAAACAUACCCCAACCGGGCCCGCACUCCAAUCAGUAGCUUUUGGUAAUACUCGAGUUUACCGGAAUCAAGAGUCUCAUUACUACAAGAUUCCCCAGUACAGUCCCCGUGGCAUGUCAAUUUUCACGACCAAGCCCUCGCCGGCUCGAUUCAAUUGACUACCAACGGGGUUGAGCUCAGUAGUACAGUAAGGCCGUUGGAUACUCGUCCAAACGACACCAAAUCAGUUUUUCAUGAAGUGAAUUCAAUAUCUCAUAAAGCAAGUGCAAUAUAUCAGUGAAGCGGUAAACAGUCAUUAACGGUAUCUCAAGGGGUGAGGGCGGUCAAGUACACCCUCACCUCAAUCAAUUCCAAUAGCCAAAUAAGCCUUCAAGGCAUCAAAAUCACAUAUAGCAAAGCCACAUUGUAACAUGCAAGUGAGUAGUAUACUCACUUAUCACUUAAGUGUUGUUUCAUGCACUUCCGUCAAGAGAAUGUCGUGAACCACCGUCACGUCCUAAAACACGUAAACAAAUAUCAUGAGACUCGAUAACGAGUCAUAAAGCCAUGCCAAUCACAACCCCAAUAGGGUUUCAUAUGCAUAUAUAGGCAUUAUAGCAAACCAGAAAAUCAGGAAAUGUAACCAUCUUGGCCAUAACAAGAAAAACAGUUUUGCCCUCAUUAUGCGGUAAUGGCACAAAAUGCGCUACGCUUAUCGGAUUAGGGUGUAAGACCUACCAUCUCGAAGCUAAAGGACAGGGCUACAACAAUGUAGAAGGCCACUCAGUCCAAAUCCUAGCACAACUAGGUCAAAUAUGCAGAAUACCAAACCAGAACUGUAAUUGCAGGUUUAUAAAUCACACUAUGCUGUAAUCAGUACAACUCAGUCUAUACAGGUCCAAAUGCAGAAAUUACAAAGGCAUAUGAUAGCUAGGCCAUCAAGCUACAUUUCAUCAGAAGACACCAACAUCCAAAUCCAAAGCAAUACCAGUCAAAACAACCCAUUUCAGAUGCAGUUCGCACAUUCUGAUCAACCCAGAACAGCAACAGUAAAAUCGACAUUUUUCACUCUACACUACUCCAAAUGACCUGAAAUUUUACAGGAACCUCAAGCACAUCAAUACCUACAACUUUCAUGUUUUAAGCAAAGGCCAAUUCGGCCUCUAACCAUAUGAUACAAAACCGGACAGAAAGGGGGUUAUGAAACCCUAACUUUCUCAAAUUCCAUCCAAACCCAAAAUUGGUUGCAAUUACCAAUCAUUUACACCUACUAGAGUCAUUACCCCUCAUUACCAACCAUCAUAAAUAACCACAACAUCAUGAUCACAUUAAACCAGAAAAUUCCUCAAUAAAAUAAAAACUUAACCAAUUCAUCUCAAACCAAGAAAUAAACCACAAAUUUCAGCACUUUAGCCACCACUAGGCACAAAUUAAGCAUCAUUAGGUGUAGGAGGAAUUUCAAUCACCACUUACCUAGUAAACAAGAGAAAAGGAGUUGUAGAACACCUUAGCUUCCUUGAACACUUCCACAAAAUCACUUACUAGCACCAAAUGGAGGGAUUUUAUGGAGUAGAAACAAUUGUAAGCAAUUGGUUUGGAUGAUUUGAGCUAGUUGGAAGCUUAAAAUUGGUGAAGUUUUCUUUCUUCUUGAGCUUAAGGUGGCCGGCCAACAUGGAGAAAGAAAGAGUGAAUUUUUGGUCAAUUUUUGAGAUAUUUAAUCCAAGGGUAAGAAAGGUCAAAAAGGUGAAUAGUUGUCUUAGGCUUCAACCAAUGGAAAUGUGACACUUGUCACUCCAUUAAAUGCAUUUCUAUCCUUCUUUUACACUCUCACAUCAAUCACUUCACCUCCUCUACUAAUCUCUUAACACCCGAUAAAUUUCACUCAGUAUCCGGAACUUAACCUUAUUGGCUGACUUUUUCCGAACUUUUCGCACUAGUGGGUCCCACAUCCAUUAUAUAUCCGUAAUUUUCCAAAAACUACUCAAUGCUAGAAAAAUCAUCUAAAAACUAUAAUUACUCAUAAAAUCCACCAAGAAAGUUUUCCUAAACCAGAAAAUGCAGAAAACAUGCCAUGAAAGGGAAAAAACCCUAGGAAAACAUUAAGGGAAAAUACGGGUUCUCACACUCUCUCCCCCUUAAAGAAAUUUCGCCCUCGAAAUUUUCUUACGGAAUCUAUCAUGAUCUAAGGUACCCAACGGAUCGCACCUUUCUCUGGUUCAGAAAAUCGGGGACCUGUUGUGGCUCCAGUGAAUACACUCGAGCCGCUACCCUAGGUUUGGUCCCUUCCACCUUGGUCGAUUCGGAAUUAGUCCUCGCCCUCUACCUUUACCUCGAGUACCGGGGCCAUUUAGGUGCAAAAGUCUAUAGAUCCUCACCUAUCGUGUGCGUAAUACUCCAACUAGGAACAAAAUAAAAACACAAAACAAAUACACGAAAAGCACGCAAAAGCGUAGGUACCAAAAGAUAAUACUCGAAUAUAUACAUUUAUUUACAAAACCACACCAAAAGAUAUACAAAAUACCCGACCUCCAGUCGGUACAAAACCCAUUAUGCACACGAGCACUCCGGCUCCAAAAAUCUAGUCAGUCCACCAAAUAACCAAAGAAAGUAGCCAUGCCAGUCCUAGCAAAAGUAAUCUACCAGCUACUCAUAAUACAAAAGUGACCCUAAUCACCUCCCCUAGGGCCCCGGUUCCCAACGGAACCUAAAGUAUCUAUCUCGCCUAUCUGCUCUGGACCAGUAGCUCGUGGUGGUGCCUCCGCGGCCAUGUCUAGUAAAACCCCACAGUCAAACGUAAUACUCCGGGCCCUCUCCCUAAGCUGCAUCCUCAUAGCGAAGAGGUGCUGGUGUGUGUGUCGGAGAUCCCGCUCCAGGUCCCUAACGCGCAACGCCUGCCAACGGCUAAACUCUCUAGCCUCCUCCAGCUGCGCCCUCAAAGUCUCAACUGUCCUGCCUAGGUGAUAACGCUCGUCAUCCAUCGCUAAAACAACCUCGUCAGGAUAGCCAUAGGUAUACCAGCACUCACAGGGUCGGCGCGACACCUGUCCAAAAGGGGAAUACAAACUAUAAGGCUCCCCAAGCCUCCUCCGAUAUCGGAUCGCCCGCUUACGCAGCACCCGGUCCUCUGGGCCCCUCGCACUCGGAGGUCUCGGUCCCGGUCCCAUGCCGCUAGAACUGCCCGGAUCCAUACCUACAAACAUUAAUUCGUUAGUUAACUGACAUUUCAACUUAAAAUAUAUCAUUCAUCUUAAAGAAAAUAAUGUAUUCCUAAGGCCUAUCACAUAUGUCCCACAAUUGCCCAAGUCCUCUAACCUAGGCGCUCGUAUUUCGUUCGUAUCCGGGCCCAAGAAUCCCAUCCAAGAUAAUUCACAACUCGAGCCGGCCGGUCCCAAGCGUAAAUCAUCCUUAUUAAAGAUUCCUACCCGACAUACAUACUUAACUUCCUCAUGUCCCAUGCUAAUGAUCCUUACACUUAUCACAUGCCCGGUUCAUAACUUAUGCUCAAACGAGCACUUAGACAUAUUCAUGAAAUUCGGACCACAACACCACUUGGCCCAGUCUCACUCCGCGCAGAGACCACGCGAAGUGGCUCUGAUACCACUUGUAACAGUCCCACUUUCCCCUAAGGCGAACCAAAGGGGUUAGCGGACUGCCUGCCCAGCUCUCGCUAGGACUACGGAUCAGUUCACGUUGAUCUAAUACGUUCCGGAACAUACCCACGCGCGUAAACAAGUCAAAAUCACAAAAUAAAAAAAACGAAAAUCGAAGCCGAUUAUGAACAGUACCGGCCAUGUCCGAAUCCGGAUACUAGGCCGAGAGUAGCCAAAUUUUUCUUUUGCCGUUUGAAAUACAAGUUAAUCAGAAAUCCAACCAAAUGUCAACCAAAUAUUGAAAUGUAACAUUUACAAGCCAAAAGCCAAAGCGGCAUAUCAAAACGAUUCAUCAUGUAUAUACAUGUUCGGUUUGCCAAUCAAAAGAAAUUGAACCCAAUACACAUUAGGGUUUCAUUCAAAGAGCUAUUCAAAAGACAUUUACAGGAGCUCAACUUGACAACCAACUAACACAACCUUUUCCAAAAGUGGUCAUUUCCUGUAAGGAAAACAAAUAGAACGGAAUGAGCUUAAGGCCAGUGAGUUACUACCACAUAAGCAACAAAGAGCAUAUAGCAUAACCUUUCAUGUCAAGUACACAAUUAAAGAAUAAAACAAGUCGGUAAAAGGAUACGGUCGGCUCUCAAGAGCCCAUUUCCACGCUUACAUUCUUGAUCCAAUCUCAUUGACUCUCCGUCAACGUUUAUGAGUACCAACCGUAGAACCCACUUCACCCCCAUCCCUUCCACCAAACAUACCCCAACCGGGCCCGCACUCCAAUCAGUAGCUUUUGGUAAUACUCGAGUUUACCGGAAUCAAGAGUCUCAUUACUACAAGAUUCCCCAGUACAGUCCCCGUGGCAUGUCAAUUUUCACGACCAAGCCCUCGCCGGCUCGAUUCAAUUGACUACCAACGGGGUUGAGCUCAGUAGUACAGUAAGGCCGUUGGAUACUCGUCCAAACGACACCAAAUCAGUUUUUCAUGAAGUGAAUUCAAUAUCUCAUAAAGCAAGUGCAAUAUAUCAGUGAAGCGGUAAACAGUCAUUAACGGUAUCUCAAGGGGUGAGGGCGGUCAAGUACACCCUCACCUCAAUCAAUUCCAAUAGCCAAAUAAGCCUUCAAGGCAUCAAAAUCACAUAUAGCAAAGCCACAUUGUAACAUGCAAGUGAGUAGUAUACUCACUUAUCACUUAAGUGUUGUUUCAUGCACUUCCGUCAAGAGAAUGUCGUGAACCACCGUCACGUCCUAAAACACGUAAACAAAUAUCAUGAGACUCGAUAACGAGUCAUAAAGCCAUGCCAAUCACAACCCCAAUAGGGUUUCAUAUGCAUAUAUAGGCAUUAUAGCAAACCAGAAAAUCAGGAAAUGUAACCAUCUUGGCCAUAACAAGAAAAACAGUUUUGCCCUCAUUAUGCGGUAAUGGCACAAAAUGCGCUACGCUUAUCGGAUUAGGGUGUAAGACCUACCAUCUCGAAGCUAAAGGACAGGGCUACAACAAUGUAGAAGGCCACUCAGUCCAAAUCCUAGCACAACUAGGUCAAAUAUGCAGAAUACCAAACCAGAACUGUAAUUGCAGGUUUAUAAAUCACACUAUGCUGUAAUCAGUACAACUCAGUCUAUACAGGUCCAAAUGCAGAAAUUACAAAGGCAUAUGAUAGCUAGGCCAUCAAGAUACAUUUCAUCAGAAGACACCAACAUCCAAAUCCAAAGCAAUACCAGUCAAAACAACCCAUUUCAAAUGCAGUUCGCACAUUCUGAUCAACCCAGAACAGCAACAGUAAAAUCGACAUUUUCCACUCUACACUACUCCAAAUGACCUGAAAUUUUACAGGAACCUCAAGCACAUCAAUACCUACAACUUUCAUGUUUUAAGCAAAGGCCAAUUCGGCCUCUAACCAUAUGAUACAAAACCGGACAGAAAGGGGGUUAUGAAACCCUAACUUUCUCAAAUUCCAUCCAAACCCAAAAUUGGUUGCAAUUACCAAUCAUUUACACCUACCAGAGUCAUUACCCCUCAUUACCAACCAUCAUAAAUAACCACAAUAUCAUGAUCACAUUAAACCAGAAAAUUCCUCAAUAAAAUAAAAACUUGACCAAUUCAUAUCAAACCAAGAAAUAAACCACAAAUUUCAGCACUUUAGCCACCACUAGGCACAAAUUAAGCAUCAUCAGGUGUAGGAGGAAGUUCAAUCACCACUUACCUAGUAAACAAGAGAAAAGGAGUUGUAGAACACCUUAGCUUCCUUGAACACUUCCACAAAAUCACUUACUAGCACCAAAUGGAGGGAUUUUAUGGAGUAGAAACAAUUGUAAGCAAUUGGUUUGGAUGAUUUGAGCUAGUUGGAAGCUUAAAAUUGGUGAAGUUUUCUUUCUUCUUGAGCUUAAGGUGGCCGGCCAACAUGGAGAAAGAAAGAGUGAAUUUUUGGUCAAUUUUUGAGAUAUUUAAUCCAAGGGUAAGAAAGGUCAAAAAGGUGAAUAGUUGUCUUAGGCUUCAACCAAUGGAAAUGUGACACUUGUCACUCCAUUAAAUGCAUUUCUAUCCUUCUUUUACACUCUCACAUCAAUCACUUCACCUCCUCUACUAAUCUCUUAACACCCGAUAAAUUUCAUUCAGUAUCCGGAACUUAACCUUAUUGGCCGACUUUUUCCGAACUUUUCGCACUAGUGGGUCCCACAUCCAUUAUAUAUCCGUAAUUUUCCAAAAACUACUCAAUGCUAGAAAAAUCAUCUAAAAACUAUAAUUACUCAUAAAAUCCACCAAGAAAGUUUUCCUAAACCAGAAAAUGCAGAAAACAUGCCAUGAAAGGGAAAAAACCCUAGGAAAACAUUAAGGGAAAAUACGGGUUCUCACACUCUCUCCCCCUUAAAGAAAUUUCGCCCUCGAAAUUUUCUUACGGAAUCUAUCAUGAUCUAAGGUACCCAACGGAUCGCACCUUUCUCUGGUUCAGAAAAUCGGGGACCUGUUGUGGCUCCAGUGAAUACACUCGAGCCGCUACCCUAGGUUUGGUCCCUUCCACCUUGGUCGAUUCGGAAUUAGUCCUCGCCCUCUACCUUUACCUCGAGUACCGGGGCCAUUUAGGUGCAAAAGUCUAUAGAUCCUCACCUAUCGUGUGCGUAAUACUCCAACUAGGAACAAAAUAAAAACACAAAACAAAUACACGAAAAGCACGCAAAAGCGUAGGUACCAAAAGAUAAUACUCGAAUAUAUACAUUUAUUUACAAAACCACACCAAAAGAUAUACAAAAUACCCGACCUCCAGUCGGUACAAAACCCAUUAUGCACACGAGCACUCCGGCUCCAAAAAUCUAGUCAGUCCACCAAAUAACCAAAGAAAGUAGCCAUGCCAGUCCUAGCAAAAGUAAUCUACCAGCUACUCAUAAUACAAAAGUGACCCUAAUCACCUCCCCUAGGGCCCCGGUUCCCAACGGAACCUAAAGUAUCUAUCUCGCCUAUCUGCUCUGGACCAGUAGCUCGUGGUGAUGCCUCCGCGGCCAUGUCUAGUAAAACCCCACAGUCAAACGUAAUACUCCGGGCCCUCUCCCUAAGCUGCAUCCUCAUAGCGAAGAGGUGCUGGUGUGUGUGUCGGAGAUCCCGCUCCAGGUCCCUAACGCGCAACGCCUGCCAACGGCUAAACUCUCUAGCCUCCUCCAGCUGCGCCCUCAAAGUCUCAACUGUCCUGCCUAGGUGAUAACGCUCGUCAUCCAUCGCUAAAACAACCUCGUCAGGAUAGCCAUAGGUAUACCAGCACUCAUAGGGUCGGCGCGACACCUGUCCAAAAGGGGAAUACAAACUAUAAGGCUCCCCAAGCCUCCUCCGAUAUCGGAUCGCCCGCUUACGCAGCACCCGGUCCUCUGGGCCCCUCGCACUCGGAGGUCUCGGUCCCGGUCCCAUGCCGCUAGAACUGCCCGGAUCCAUACCUACAAACAUUAAUUCGUUAGUUAACUGACAUUUCAACUUAAAAUAUAUCAUUCAUCUUAAAGAAAAUAAUGUAUUCCUAAGGCCUAUCACAUAUGUCCCACAAUUGCCCAAGUCCUCUAACCUAGGCGCUCGUAUUUCGUUCGUAUCCGGGCCCAAGAAUCCCAUCCAAGAUAAUUCACAACUCGAGCCGGCCGGUCCCAAGCGUAAAUCAUCCUUAUUAAAGAUUCCUACCCGACAUACAUACUUAACUUCCUCAUGUCCCAUGCUAAUGAUCCUUACACUUAUCACAUGCCCGGUUCAUAACUUAUGCUCAAACGAGCACUUAGACAUAUUCAUGAAAUUCGGACCACAACACCACUUGGCCCAGUCUCACUCCGCGCAGAGACCACGCGAAGUGGCUCUGAUACCACUUGUAACAGUCCCACUUUCCCCUAAGGCGAACCAAAGGGGUUAGCGGACUGCCUGCCCAGCUCUCGCUAGGACUACGGAUCAGUUCACGUUGAUCUAAUACGUUCCGGAACAUACCCACGCGCGUAAACAAGUCAAAAUCACAAAAUAAAAAAAACGAAAAUCGAAGCCGAUUAUGAACAGUACCGGCCAUGUCCGAAUCCGGAUACUAGGCCGAGAGUAGCCAAAUUUUUCUUUUGCCGUUUGAAAUACAAGUUAAUCAGAAAUCCAACCAAAUGUCAACCAAACAUUGAAAUGUAACAUUUACAAGCCAAAAGCCAAAGCGGCAUAUCAAAACGAUUCAUCAUGUAUAUACAUGUUCGGUUUGCCAAUCAAAAGAAAUUGAACCCAAUACACAUUAGGGUUUCAUUCAAAGAGCUAUUCAAAAGACAUUUACAGGAGCUCAACUUGACAACCAACUAACACAACCUUUUCCAAAAGUGGUCAUUUCCUGUAAGGAAAACAAAUAGAACGGAAUGAGCUUAAGCCCAGUGAGUUACUACCACAUAAGCAACAAAGAGCAUAUAGCAUAACCUUUCAUGUCAAGUACACAAUUAAAGAAUAAAACAAGUCGGUAAAAGGAUACGGUCGGCUCUCAAGAGCCCAUUUCCACGCUUACAUUCUUGAUCCAAUCUCAUUGACUCUCCGUCAACGUUUAUGAGUACCAACCGUAGAACCCACUUCACCCCCAUCCCUUCCACCAAACAUACCCCAACCGGGCCCGCACUCCAAUCAGUAGCUUUUGGUAAUACUCGAGUUUACCAGAAUCAAGAGUCUCAUUACUACAAGAUUCCCCAGUACAGUCCCCGUGGCAUGUCAAUUUUCACGACCAAGCCCUCGCCGGCUCGAUUCAAUUGACUACCAACGGGGUUGAGCUCAGUAGUACAGUAAGGCCGUUGGAUACUCGUCCAAACGACACCAAAUCAGUUUUUCAUGAAGUGAAUUCAAUAUCUCAUAAAGCAAGUGCAAUAUAUCAGUGAAGCGGUAAACAGUCAUUAACGGUAUCUCAAGGGGUGAGGGCGGUCAAGUACACCCUCACCUCAAUCAAUUCCAAUAGCCAAAUAAGCCUUCAAGGCAUCAAAAUCACAUAUAGCAAAGCCACAUUGUAACAUGCAAGUGAGUAGUAUACUCACUUAUCACUUAAGUGUUGUUUCAUGCACUUCCGUCAAGAGAAUGUCGUGAACCACCGUCACGUCCUAAAACACGUAAACAAAUAUCAUGAGACUCGAUAACGAGUCAUAAAGCCAUGCCAAUCACAACCCCAAUAGGGUUUCAUAUGCAUAUAUAGGCAUUAUAGCAAACCAGAAAAUCAGGAAAUGUAACCAUCUUGGCCAUAACAAGAAAAACAGUUUUGCCCUCAUUAUGCGGUAAUGGUACAAAAUGCGCUACGCUUAUCGGAUUAGGGUGUAAGACCUACCAUCUCGAAGCUAAAGGACAGGGCUACAACAAUGUAGAAGGCCACUCAGUCCAAAUCCUAGCACAACUAGGUCAAAUAUGCAGAAUACCAAACCAGAACUGUAAUUGCAGGUUUAUAAAUCACACUAUGCUGUAAUCAGUACAACUCAGUCUAUACAGGUCCAAAUGCAGAAAUUACAAAGGCAUAUGAUAGCUAGGCCAUCAAGCUACAUUUCAUCAGAAGACACCAACAUCCAAAUCCAAAGCAAUACCAGUCAAAACAACCCAUUUCAGAUGCAGUUCGCACAUUCUGAUCAACCCAGAACAGCAACAGUAAAAUCGACAUUUUUCACUCUACACUACUCCAAAUGACCUGAAAUUUUACAGGAACCUCAAGCACAUCAAUACCUACAACUUUCAUGUUUUAAGCAAAGGCCAAUUCGGCCUCUAACCAUAUGAUACAAAACCGGACAGAAAGGGGGUUAUGAAACCCUAACUUUCUCAAAUUCCAUCCAAACCCAAAAUUGGUUGCAAUUACCAAUCAUUUACACCUACUAGAGUCAUUACCCCUCAUUACCAACCAUCAUAAAUAACCACAACAUCAUGAUCACAUUAAACCAGAAAAUUCCUCAAUAAAAUAAAAACUUAACCAAUUCAUCUCAAACCAAGAAAUAAACCACAAAUUUCAGCACUUUAGCCACCACUAGGCACAAAUUAAGCAUCAUUAGGUGUAGGAGGAAUUUCAAUCACCACUUACCUAGUAAACAAGAGAAAAGGAGUUGUAGAACACCUUAGCUUCCUUGAACACUUCCACAAAAUCACUUACUAGCACCAAAUGGAGGGAUUUUAUGGAGUAGAAACAAUUGUAAGCAAUUGGUUUGGAUGAUUUGAGCUAGUUGGAAGCUUAAAAUUGGUGAAGUUUUCUUUCUUCUUGAGCUUAAGGUGGCCGGCCAACAUGGAGAAAGAAAGAGUGAAUUUUUGGUCAAUUUUUGAGAUAUUUAAUCCAAGGGUAAGAAAGGUCAAAAAGGUGAAUAGUUGUCUUAGGCUUCAACCAAUGGAAAUGUGACACUUGUCACUCCAUUAAAUGCAUUUCUAUCCUUCUUUUACACUCUCACAUCAAUCACUUCACCUCCUCUACUAAUCUCUUAACACCUGAUAAAUUUCACUCAGUAUCCGGAACUUAACCUUAUUGGCCGACUUUUUCCGAACUUUUCGCACUAGUGGGUCCCACAUCCAUUAUAUAUCCGUAAUUUUCCAAAAACUACUCAAUGCUAGAAAAAUCAUCUAAAAACUAUAAUUACUCAUAAAAUCCACCAAGAAAGUUUUCCUAAACCAGAAAAUGCAGAAAACAUGCCAUGAAAGGGAAAAAACCCUAGGAAAACAUUAAGGGAAAAUACGGGUUCUCACACUCUCUCCCCCUUAAAGAAAUUUCGCCCUCGAAAUUUUCUUACGGAAUCUAUCAUGAUCUAAGGUACCCAACGGAUCGCACCUUUCUCUGGUUCAGAAAAUCGGGGACCUGUUGUGGCUCCAGUGAAUACACUCGAGCCGCUACCCUAGGUUUGGUCCCUUCCACCUUGGUCGAUUCGGAAUUAGUCCUCGCCCUCUACCUUUACCUCGAGUACCGGGGCCAUUUAGGUGCAAAAGUCUAUAGAUCCUCACCUAUCGUGUGCGUAAUACUCCAACUAGGAACAAAAUAAAAACACAAAACAAAUACACGAAAAGCACGCAAAAGCGUAGGUACCAAAAGAUAAUACUCAAAUAUAUACAUUUAUUUACAAAACCACACCAAAAGAUAUACAAAAUACCCGACCUCCAGUCGGUACAAAACCCAUUAUGCACACGAGCACUCUGGCUCCAAAAAUCUAGUCAGUCCACCAAAUAACCAAAGAAAGUAGCCAUGCCAGUCCUAGCAAAAGUAAUCUACCAGCUACUCAUAAUACAAAAGUGACCCUAAUCACCUCCCCUAGGGCCCCGGUUCCCAACGGAACCUAAAGUAUCUAUCUCGCCUAUCUGCUCUGGACCAGUAGCUCGUGGUGGUGCCUCCGCGGCCAUGUCUAGUAAAACCCCACAGUCAAACGUAAUACUCCGGGCCCUCUCCCUAAGCUGCAUCCUCAUAGCGAAGAGGUGCUGGUGUGUGUGUCGGAGAUCCCGCUCCAGGUCCCUAACGCGCAACGCCUGCCAACGGCUAAACUCUCUAGCCUCCUCCAGCUGCGCCCUCAAAGUCUCAACUGUCCUGCCUAGGUGAUAACGCUCGUCAUCCAUCGCUAAAACAACCUCGUCAGGAUAGCCAUAGGUAUACCAGCACUCAUAGGGUCGGCGCGACACCUGUCCAAAAGGGGAAUACAAACUAUAAGGCUCCCCAAGCCUCCUCCGAUAUCGGAUCGCCCGCUUACGCAGCACCCGGUCCUCUGGGCCCCUCGCACUCGGAGGUCUCGGUCCCGGUCCCAUGCCGCUAGAACUGCCCGGAUCCAUACCUACAAACAUUAAUUCGUUAGUUAACUGACAUUUCAACUUAAAAUAUAUCAUUCAUCUUAAAGAAAAUAAUGUAUUCCUAAGGCCUAUCACAUAUGUCCCACAAUUGCCCAAGUCCUCUAACCUAGGCGCUCGUAUUUCGUUCGUAUCCGGGCCCAAGAAUCCCAUCCAAGAUAAUUCACAACUCGAGCCGGCCGGUCCCAAGCGUAAAUCAUCCUUAUUAAAGAUUCCUACCCGACAUACAUACUUAACUUCCUCAUGUCCCAUGCUAAUGAUCCUUACACUUAUCACAUGCCCGGUUCAUAACUUAUGCUCAAACGAGCACUUAGACAUAUUCAUGAAAUUCGGACCACAACACCACUUGGCCCAGUCUCACUCCGCGCAGAGACCACGCGAAGUGGCUCUGAUACCACUUGUAACAGUCCCACUUUCCCCUAAGGCGAACCAAAGGGGUUAGCGGACUGCCUGCCCAGCUCUCGCUAGGACUACGGAUCAGUUCACGUUGAUCUAAUACGUUCCGGAACAUACCCACGCGCGUAAACAAGUCAAAAUCACAAAAUAAAAAAAACGAAAAUCGAAGCCGAUUAUGAACAGUACCGGCCAUGUCCGAAUCCGGAUACUAGGCCGAGAGUAGCCAAAUUUUUCUUUUGCCGUUUGAAAUACAAGUUAAUCAGAAAUCCAACCAAAUGUCAACCAAACAUUGAAAUGUAACAUUUACAAGCCAAAAGCCAAAGCGGCAUAUCAAAACGAUUCAUCAUGUAUAUACAUGUUCGGUUUGCCAAUCAAAAGAAAUUGAACCCAAUACACAUUAGGGUUUCAUUCAAAGAGCUAUUCAAAAGACAUUUACAGGAGCUCAACUUGACAACCAACUAACACAACCUUUUCCAAAAGUGGUCAUUUCCUGUAAGGAAAACAAAUAGAACGGAAUGAGCUUAAGGCCAGUGAGUUACUACCACAUAAGCAACAAAGAGCAUAUAGCAUAACCUUUCAUGUCAAGUACACAAUUAAAGAAUAAAACAAGUCGGUAAAAGGAUACGGUCGGCUCUCAAAAGCCCAUUUCCACGCUUACAUUCUUGAUCCAAUCUCAUUGACUCUCCGUCAACGUUUAUGAGUACCAACCGUAGAACCCACUUCACCCCCAUCCCUUCCACCAAACAUACCCCAACCGGGCCCGCACUCCAAUCAGUAGCUUUUGGUAAUACUCGAGUUUACCGGAAUCAAGAGUCUCAUUACUACAAGAUUCCCCAGUACAGUCCCCGUGGCAUGUCAAUUUUCACGACCAAGCCCUCGCCGGCUCGAUUCAAUUGACUACCAACGGGGUUGAGCUCAGUAGUACAGUAAGGCCGUUGGAUACUCGUCCAAACGACACCAAAUCAGUUUUUCAUGAAGUGAAUUCAAUAUCUCAUAAAGCAAGUGCAAUAUAUCAGUGAAGCGGUAAACAGUCAUUAACGGUAUCUCAAGGGGUGAGGGCGGUCAAGUACACCCUCACCUCAAUCAAUUCCAAUAGCCAAAUAAGCCUUCAAGGCAUCAAAAUCACAUAUAGCAAAGCCACAUUGUAACAUGCAAGUGAGUAGUAUACUCACUUAUCACUUAAGUGUUGUUUCAUGCACUUCCGUCAAGAGAAUGUCGUGAACCACCGUCACGUCCUAAAACACGUAAACAAAUAUCAUGAGACUCGAUAACGAGUCAUAAAGCCAUGCCAAUCACAACCCCAAUAGGGUUUCAUAUGCAUAUAUAGGCAUUAUAGCAAACCAGAAAAUCAGGAAAUGUAACCAUCUUGGCCAUAACAAGAAAAACAGUUUUGCCCUCAUUAUGCGGUAAUGGCACAAAAUGCGCUACGCUUAUCGGAUUAGGGUGUAAGACCUACCAUCUCGAAGCUAAAGGACAGGGCUACAACAAUGUAGAAGGCCACUCAGUCCAAAUCCUAGCACAACUAGGUCAAAUAUGCAGAAUACCAAACCAGAACUGUAAUUGCAGGUUUAUAAAUCACACUAUGCUGUAAUCAAUACAACUCAGUCUAUACAGGUCCAAAUGCAGAAAUUACAAAGGCAUAUGAUAGCUAGGCCAUCAAGAUACAUUUCAUCAGAAGACACCAACAUCCAAAUCCAAAGCAAUACCAGUCAAAACAACCCAUUUCAAAUGCAGUUCGCACAUUCUGAUCAACCCAGAACAGCAACAGUAAAAUCGACAUUUUCCACUCUACACUACUCCAAAUGACCUGAAAUUUUACAGGAACCUCAAGCACAUCAAUACCUACAACUUUCAUGUUUUAAGCAAAGGCCAAUUCGGCCUCUAACCAUAUGAUACAAAACCGGACAGAAAGGGGGUUAUGAAACCCUAACUUUCUCAAAUUCCAUCCAAACCCAAAAUUGGUUGCAAUUACCAAUCAUUUACACCUACUAGAGUCAUUACCCCUCAUUACCAACCAUCAUAAAUAACCACAAUAUCAUGAUCACAUUAAACCAGAAAAUUCCUCAAUAAAAUAAAAACUUGACCAAUUCAUCUCAAACCAAGAAAUAAACCACAAAUUUCAGCACUUUAGCCACCACUAGGCACAAAUUAAGCAUCAUCAGGUGUAGGAGGAAGUUCAAUCACCACUUACCUAGUAAACAAGAGAAAAGGAGUUGUAGAACACCUUAGCUUCCUUGAACACUUCCACAAAAUCACUUACUAGCACCAAAUGGAGGGAUUUUAUGGAGUAGAAACAAUUGUAAGCAAUUGGUUUGGAUGAUUUGAGCUAGUUGGAAGCUUAAAAUUGGUGAAGUUUUCUUUCUUCUUGAGCUUAAGGUGGCCGGCCAACAUGGAGAAAGAAAGAGUGAAUUUUUGGUCAAUUUUUGAGAUAUUUAAUCCAAGGGUAAGAAAGGUCAAAAAGGUGAAUAGUUGUCUUAGGCUUCAACCAAUGGAAAUGUGACACUUGUCACUCCAUUAAAUGCAUUUCUAUCCUUCUUUUACACUCUCACAUCAAUCACUUCACCUCCUCUACUAAUCUCUUAACACCCGAUAAAUUUCAUUCAGUAUCCGGAACUUAACCUUAUUGGCCGACUUUUUCCGAACUUUUCGCACUAGUGGGUCCCACAUCCAUUAUAUAUCCGUAAUUUUCCAAAAACUACUCAAUGCUAGAAAAAUCAUCUAAAAACUAUAAUUACUCAUAAAAUCCACCAAGAAAGUUUUCCUAAACCAGAAAAUGCAGAAAACAUGCCAUGAAAGGGGAAAAACCAUAGGAAAACAUUAAGGGAAAAUACGGGUUCUCACACUUUCGACCAUAUAGCACUUCAUAUGGGGCCAUUUGAAUAGAAGAGUAAAAGCUUUUAUUAUAGACAAACUCCACCAAUGUCAAAAACUUACUCCAACUCUCCCCAAAAGAGUAAAAGCUUUUAUUAUAGACAAACUCCACCAAUGUCAAAAACUUACUCCAACUCUCCCCAAAAUCCAAAACACAAGUCCUCAACAUGUCCUCAAGGGUCUGAAUUGUCCUCUCAGAUUGUCCAUCAGUCUGAGGAUGAUAAGUGGUACUAAAAUUUAGUUUAGUCCCCAACACAUCUUGCAUCUUUUGCCAGAAUCUCGAAACAAAUCUUGGAUCUCUAUCGGAUACAAUAUUGACAAGGAUUCCAUGUUACCUAAUGAUCUCAUCCAAAUACAACUUGGCCAACUUCUCCAAUGGGUAUUUUAUAUUAAUCGGCAGACAGUGAGCUGAUUUGGUCAGUCUAUCCACUAUUACUCAGAUAGCAUCAUGGCCCUUUUGUGUCCUUGUUAAUCCUGAUAUAAAAUCCAUAGUGAUAUCCUCUCAUUUCCAUUCAGGUAUUUCUAAAGGUUGUAAAAGUCUAGAUGGUUUUUGAUGUUCAGCCUUAACCUGUUGACAAACCAAAUAGGUCUGGACAAAUUGAGCAAUCUCCUUCUUCAUACUCUCCCACCAAUAAAAACUCUUCAAAUCUUGGUAUAUUUUAUUCCUUCCCGGGUAUACCGUAAACUUCGAUCGGUGUGCCUCUUCCAAGGUUUCCUUUUUAAGCCCUUCAUCUUUUGGCACUACUAUUCGAUUCCGAAAUCUCAAUACACCAUUUGAUCCUAAGUUAAAAUCUGACUUGUUUCCCUUUUUGACUUUUUCCAACCAUUUUUGCACUUCGGCAUCCUUUUCCUGGAAUUCCUUGAUACGUUCCAUCAGAGUAGAAUUCACUACAAUAUUCCCCAAAAUUACUUUCCUCGGUUCCAAUCGAGAAUUCCAAUAACUAACUUCUUUCAACAAAUGAAAUUCCUUGAUCAUUAAUCCAGCCAUUUGCACCUGACGACUCAAAGCAUCGGCCACUACGUUGGUCUUUCCUGGAUGGUACUUAAUUGUACAAUCAUAGUCUUCCAAAAAUUCCAUCCACCUACGUUGCCUCAAAUUCAGCUCCUUUUGAGAAAACAAAUACUUAAGGCUUUUGUGAUCAGUAAAAACCUCAAAUGUCACUCCAUACAGGUAAUGUCUCCAUUUCUUUAAAGCAAAUACCACCGCUGCCAACUCCAAGUCAUGAGUCGGGUAAUUUCCCUCAUGUGGUUUCGAUUUCAUAGAGGUAUACGCUAUCACUUUGUCAUUUUGCAUUAAAACACAUCUCAAUCCUUCUUUAGAUGCAUCUGUAUAAAUCACAAAGCUAUCCUUUCCAUUCGGUAGAGCUAAUACAGGUGCUCUCAUCAAACGUCUCUUUAAUUCCUGGAAACUCUCUUCACACUUAGGACUCAUAUAAACUUUUCACUUUUUUUGGUCAACUCAGUCAUGGGUCCAGCAAUUCGGGAAAAAUCCUGAAUAAACCUCCGGUAAUACCCUACUAGUCCAAUGAAACUUCGAACCCCAGUAGGGUUUUCCGGUCGUUUCCACUUUGCGACAGCUUUAACUUUAGUCGGAUCCGCCUUAAUCCCAUUUUUAGAAAUUAUAUGUGUGAGGACUCGUAAAAACUAUUAUUUUUAAGCCUAAUUUGUGGCUUAAUAAAUUAUUUAAUUGGAUAUUUGCCUCGAGGAAUAUUUUCUAGUCUUAUUAGACCUAAAUACAUGGUAAUAUAACUUCGUUAUAUUUUUAAAAUAACUCAUUUCACGAAUUAAUUUCCUGGAGCGCGUUUAGUAAAAACAGUGAAUAGUGCCUGGAGAUUUUAUCCGCUUGAGAGUACAAUAAGUUUGGAAUAUUGGAGACAUGUACAAUGGACCUAAAUUCGGUAUUUUAAUGUUUAAAUACUCAAGUGAUAGUUAUUAGUACUAUCGUUAUAAGAAUUUCCCGGAGGUUUCGCGUUAUAGCGUAAAAAAUUGACGGUACGCGUUUUCACACGCGCGACUUUAUUUGAGGGACUUUAGACCUUUAUUUCGGGACAAUUAAGAGUGAAUAUUAUCUACAUGAAUAUAAAUAUAUUGGAGGUUUAGUGCACUAGUGAACCAAACGCGCGAGAAAAUCGAGCCCUAAUCGCGCCAAACGCACCCUAAUGUGAGUUGACUAAUGGGUGACUUGAGGCCACAAGUUAAUGUCUUCUCUUGGAAGCUAAAAUCUGAUCACUCUCUCUCUCUCUUGAGCUUCAAACAGCCGGCCAGCUCUCUCUCUCUCUCUCAACCUCCAAGUUUCAAAAUUUCUUCUCACAAAAACCUCACCAAAUCAUCUCCAAAUUCAACCAAACUUGCACCACACUUAGCUUAACACUAGGAGAUCAUUUUGAGCUGAAAAAGGGUGCUGGAAAUCAUGGUUUCUUGGAGCAUUUUGAGGGCCAAAAAUUCUGAUCUAGUACACUAAGAAGGUAUAACAUGAUCCAUCACCUUAAACUUGGAUUAUGAUGGUAGAAAUGCAUCUUUAAGCUAUUGCAUGUGGUUGGGUGGCUUGAUAUGGUUGUAAAAUGUUCUAGUGGGCUCUUUGUAUUCCCACACUUGGGUUGUUGUUGCUGAUUAGAGGAUCAAUGUUGGGUUUAAUGGUAGUUUAAUGGUUAUAAUGAUGGAUUUAUGGAGUAUUAUUGUUGGAAACUCAAAGUAGAGGUCAUGACCAGAAAUUGCUGAAUCUGCCCCUGUUUUGUUCGGCCAUGAUAAGGCCAAUUUUUGGUGAUUUAUUGGCAUGAACCUGAUGUGUAUAUGUUAUAUUAUAUGUGUAGAAAUUUUCGUUGGAAAACAUUAACGUUUGGAUGGGCAAAUGAAUUUAUUCGUGGACUAGGCAAGCUGGAAAAUUAUUUUCGGGUAACCCUGUCCAGCGGUAGCAUUUUGGCCAUAACUCUGUCCUCGGGUGUCGAAAUCAAGUGCCGUUGGUGGCGUUUGAAACUAGACAUUCCUGGAUUUAAUUUGAGAUAAAAUGCACGUCUGAUUCUUGGUGAGUGAGCCGAAAAAAAUGUUUUAAGAUAGCUGUCCUGUCUCUCGGAUUUGCUGGAAUGGCUUGUCGAGGCAGCAACUUGAGGCUCAAUUUUGAGCUGGUUGCUUGCCGAAUUUCAGAACAUUUCCUUCUGUGAACUUUUAGUCCCGUGAAUGUAUUUUCUAACGCCAUAAACCAUGCCUCAUUCCGAGUUAAAUUGAUUGAGUUGUGACUAAAACAAGAGGACUGCCCUGUUUUGGAAAAACGUAGUAUUUGGACUGAUUUGGGGCAAAACUUGGGAAUGAUUUUAUUAAUUGAAAUUUUGAUGCUAAACCAUUACCAAAGGUAUCAUGGAUGUAUCUUAGACCUUUAUUCCACCAAUGAACCAUGGUCGGAUAGUUUUCUUGGUUAAACGAUUUGAAAUUGGGGAAUGAAAGUCAAAAGGCAGAUUGCCUUAGAAAUUUUCCGGAACUUUGGAUGAUUAGUUAACUACCUUCCCGAGGGUAUUUUUCCCUGAAAUUUGAUAGAUAAAUACCUUGCAUAUAGGAGUAAAAUACUGCCGAUUUUGGCACCAAUUCAAGUUCGUUUCUAUACUGAAUUAAAUUUCUAGUGUUGGAGGUUCAAAACUGGAAAUUCUUCUUCAGUCUUGAAUCUUCCUCAACUUGGGGCUACUAUAUCUUGGUGCUCGAAACUCCGUUUCUCAAUCCGCUUGUUUUUUUAUACUCUUGGAUUGCAACACUAUUUGAUUUCCAAAUUUCAAAGGUUAGUUCAAAACAAGUGAAUUUUGCCGAAUUUCCAAAAUUGGCCAAAAACCAACCUUGAAACUGUCUUAGUAUUCUACAGCAGUAACUUUGAUCCAACUUUUGAAUACCUUCCAUUUGGAAUCAUGGAAAAGUGUCUUCUAGAAACUUGUAGUACUCGGAAUUUAGUUUCCAAUGGUAUCAAGCUUUCCAAUUUUGGACCUACGUAGUGCAAGAUACGAUUUUUCUAGAAUUGACACCCAAAGCUGAAAUUUGGCAAUUUCUUAGAAAUGAGAUUUUGGAAACUUGCCUUUUUUUCUCGAUACCGAUUGAACAUUUUGAACUCGAUUUCAUGAAAAAUGUUAGUCUCUUUCUUUAGACUUUAAAACUUUACUCUUGAGCCUCGAUUAUUAAUAAUUAAGGCCCAAUUCAUGAAUUCCCUUUAGAUUGUACAACCUUCUUUGAUAAGUAGGAGUUCUAAGUGAUAGUGUAUAAUAGUUAAUGGUUAUUUGCUCAGGCGCUCAAGGGGACCUUCAAGAAGAACUCGAAGUGGAUGCCUAGACACUUGUUUGAGUAUUACUCUCUUGUUGCUAUAGGUGAGUGUUCCAUAUAGGAAUACGUAAUUGGAAUAAGUCUAGGACAUGCAUAACCCAUGAUUAUUAAGUGUUAAGUGCUAUAUGUUAAGUAUUUACCACACUCAUGCAUAUCUGAAUAAGGUAUACUUGAAUUACUCGACAUGAAAUACCUGAAAUAUGUAUAUUUGAACUAUUCGAUAUGAAAUGCUUAAAGAGCAGAUUUAUGUGAUUACUUGAAAUACUAGAUAUGAAAUGCUUGGAGAGCAUAUCUACAUGAUGUGUUUAAAUGAUUAAUUAUGCUAUGACAGCAUAAGUCGGUUGGAGUGAAUCUCCUCGACUCUUAUGUGAAAAAAGUGAAAAACGGCCAAUGGUGGCCUAUUAAAAUGACAUAUGUCUACCAAUUAACCGUAAUUACCACCGUUUACCGUUUACCGUGUUUACUUACCGUUUUCUAAUCCAUUCGGCUACUUGCUUACUUGAUUAUCUGCUUACGUGAUCACCAACUUACUUGAUCACUUGAUUAUCAUGAAUCGCAUGUUAUAUGAAGCUGUCCAUCGUUGUUAGGCGAGUGUGUACUUUACCUCACUCGACCUACUC
rnacentral:lncRNA from 1 species